rnacentral:lncRNA from 1 species
UAACUCUUUGUUAUAUUUAACUUGCUCUUCUUUGCUUCUUUGCUUCUUGCUCAUAACGAUAACAAGAAAGCCUUACGUUCAGAUAGAUAAUCAUUGACCAGUUCAUCCUAUACCAUUCAAUUUAAUUUAGAAAUGCUGAAAGAAAAACGCAAGCAAUCCAAAGAUGAAGACAACCAUUCAUCCUCGCGAAAGAGAAGAAAAGCUGACCUCAGUAAGCCUGUCAGUUUUGUCUCCACAGGUAAGGCAGAUGCGUGAGUCUAUACAUGUAGGAACUGCUGAUUCGAUUAGAAUAUGUUAUUUGAUUAGUCUGAUCAUAGGAUAGGUUGAGUCUACUAUUAUUUCUGCCUUGCUUUGACUCGAAAUUACUGGUGUUUUCUCCUGCAAAUGAAUAGAAAUCACAUCCUUUCUCUUUCUCCUAUACAAAGAAUACAAUUAACCUCAUUUCAAUAUCAUAGCUUUGGAAUUUCAUAGCUGACUCUUUGUUAUAUUGUUCCAUUGGUAAUUGAUUGUGCCUUAAUUUCUGCAGCUACCAUGACAGAGCCAGAGUCUUCUCGAUCUAGACCAGAAGGGGCCUAUGAUGUCUUCUUGAGUUUUAGAGGAGAAGACACUCGCAAGACAUUUACAGAUCAUCUAUAUACUGCCUUGUCCAAGCAGGAAUCCACACUUUUCGAGAUGAUGAUGAACUUCCAGAGGAGAAGAAAUCUCCGAUCAUCUCCUCAGGGCAAUUCAAGAAUCAAAGAUGUCCAUAGUUGUCUUCUCAAAAGGAUAUGCUUCUUCUAGAUGGUGUCUCAAUGAACUUGUAGAGAUUCUUGAGUGCAAAAAGAGGAAAACCGGUCAGAUUGUUCUUCCUAUAUUCUAUGACAUUGAUCCUUCAGAUGUGAGAAAACAGAAUGGCAAUUUUGCAGAAGCAUUUGUUAAACAUGAAGAGCGUUUUGAAGAGAAGUUGGUGAAGGAGUGGAGAAAAGCUCUUGAGGAGGCUGGAAAUCUAUCUGGAUGGAAUCUCAAUGAUAGGGCAAAUGGGUAUGCCAUUUUUCCAAAUUUAUAGAGUCAAUAUACUUUACAUUUUUCAAUUUGAAACAAUAAAAUACUUAAUUGACUGGCUAUCGAUGGCUUGCUUUUUUCUAUGAUCAGGCAUGAAGCAAAAUUUAUCCAAUGGAUUAUCAAGCAUGUGUUGAACAUAUUGGAUCCCAAGCACUUGAAUGUUCCUGAGCUCCUAGUAGGUAUUGAUGAUCUUGCUCACGAUAUUUUUUACUUUCUAAGUACUGCAACAGAUGAUGUACGCAUUGUGGGCAUACAUGGGAUGCCAGGAAAAGGAAAGACGACUAUAGCAAAAGUUGUAUUUAAUCGACUCUGCUAUGGAUUCGAGGGAAGCUGUUUUCUUUCGAAUAUCAAUGCAAGAUCAAAACAAUUCAAUGGUCUGGCUCUUUUACAAAAGCAACUUCUUGAUGAUAUUUUAAAACAAGAUGUUGCUAACAUCAAUUGUGUCGAUAGAGGAAAGGUUCUGAUCAAAGAGCGACUUUGUCGCAAAAGAGUUCUUGUUGUUGCUGAUGAUGUGGCUCAUCUGGACCAGCUAAAUGCUUUGAUGGGAGAUCGAAGUUGGUUUGGUCCUGGAAGUAGAGUAAUUAUCACAACAAGAGAUUCAAGUUUACUUCGUGAAGCAAAUAAAAGAUAUCAGAUCAAAGAACUGGAACCAGAUGAGGCCCUUCAGCUUUUCAGCUGGCAUGCCUUCAAGGACACCAAGCCAACAGAAGAUUAUAUUGAGCUUUCGAAGAAAGCCGUUGGUUACUGUGGAGGACUUCCUUUAGCUCUUGAGGUUAUAGGAGCUCUUCUGUACAGGAAAAACAGAGGUAGAUGGGAAAGUGAAAUUGACAAAUUGAAAAGAAUUCCAAACCACGAUAUUCAAGGAAAGCUUAGAAUAAGUUAUGACUCACUGGACGGUGAAGAACCAAAAAAUGCAUUCCUUGACAUCGCUUGCUUCUUUAUUGAUAGAAAGAAAGAGUACGUCGCAAAAGUGCUAGGAGCCCGUUGCGGUUACAAUCCAGAAGUUGAUUUGCAAACUCUCCAUGAAAGGUCUCUGAUUAAAGUAUUGGGAGAGACGGUAACCAUGCAUGAUCUAUUACGAGACACGGGGAGGGAGGUCGUUCGUGAAUCGUCUCCAAAAGAACCUGGAAACAGGACCAGAAUUUGGAAUCAAGAGGAUGCAUGGAAUGUACUUGAGAAGCACAAGGUACGCAAGAGCUUAAUGUUGUAUUUUCUAGUCAAACUUAUUACAAAUAAUGGUAUGAAAGUUGUAUUGAUUUUAUUUUUUUAGGGUACGGAAGUUGUAGAGGGUCUUAAACUGGAUGUCAGAGCAUCAGAAGCUAAAUCACUGAGCACAAGAUCAUUUGCAAAAAUGAAAUGCUUAAAUUUACUCCAAAUCAACGGAGCACAUCUCACCGGAUCCUUCAAACUGCUUUCUAAAGAGUUGAUGUGGAUUUGUUGGCAUGAAUGUCCUUUGAAAUAUUUUCCAUCUGAUUUUACCUUGGACAAUCUAGUUGUUCUUGAUAUGCAGUACAGUAACCUCAAAGAACUAUGGAAUGGAAAAAAGGUACGAAACAUGUUACAAUCCCCAAAAUUUUUCUAAUAUGUAGUUUAUAUUUACAUGUUAUGACUUUCUAUGAUUAAUUUUCAUUAUUUUUCUCUCUAUUAUAAUAGAUUCUCGACAAGCUUAAAAUCCUUAAUCUCAGUCAUUCUCAGCAUCUUAUUAAAACACCAAACUUGCACAGUUCAAGUCUAGAGAAACUAAUUCUGAAAGGUUGCUCGAGUUUAAUUAAGGUGCAUCAAUCAAUUGAAAAUUUGACGAGCCUCGUUUUCUUGAAUCUGGAGGGAUGUUGGAGGCUUAAGAAUCUCCCUGAAAGCAUUGGCAAUGUAAAGUCUCUUGAAACUCUGAAUAUUUCUGGAUGUUCACAACUUGAGAAAUUGCCAGAACACAUGGGUGAUAUGGAAUCCUUAACUAAGCUGCUAGCCGAUGGGAUUGAAAAUGAGCAAUUUCUCUCUUCAAUUGGACAAUUAAAGCAUGUCAGAAGGUUAUCAUUGCGUGGAUACAGUUCGACUCCACCAAGUUGUUCUUUGAUUUCAGCAGGUGUUUCGAAUUUGAAACGUUGGCUGCCAACACCUUUCAUUGAAUGGAUAUCAGUGAAACGUCUUGAGCUUUCUAAUAGUGGUUUGUCUGAUCACGCAACUAACUGUGUUGAUUUCAGUGGUUUGUCUGCUCUAGAGUAUUUGAAUCUAGAUGGAAACAAAUUCUCUAGCCUUCCUUCUGGGCUCGGCUUCCUUCCCAAGCUAAGUUUGUUGUAUGUCCGGGCAUGCAAAUAUCUUGUAUCAAUCCCAGAUCUUCCCUCAAGUUUAGACUAUUUGUUUGCAUCUGAUUGCAAAUCAUUGAAAAGAUUAAGAAUACCAAGCGAGCCAAAAAAAGUAUCAGUUAUAAAGCUAGAUGGAAGUCAUUCGUUAGAAGAGUUUCAGGGCAUUGAAGAUCUAAGUAAUUGGUUCUGGUAUAUUUGUGUUGAUGACCGCAGUCAUUCAUCAAGUAAAUUACUGAAGAGCGUUGUUGAGGUACUAUUUCUUUCCGUCUCUUUUUCGCACAAAAAGAAACACACACAAUUGGCACAUACAUUGAAUAAUGUCUAAAUUCUCAGCAAUCCUUAGAAAUCAAUAUGUAUAUGGGCAAUUAUUAUUAUUAUUAUUAUUAUUAUAUUUAAAAAAACAAAUAUCAUCUUUAAUAAUAUUUUUUAUUUUUCUUAUUUAAUCUAAAAAAUUAAAUAUUAUGUUUAAUAAUAUUUUUUUUAUUAAAUAUUUAAAGUCUGAUUGGUUUUAUUUUUUAUUUCUUGAUUUUAUGAUAAUAUAUUUAUACAGACAAUGUGCAACGGUCGUCACGGGUAUUUUAUUCGUAUUCAGUACAUUCCUAGUGAGAUGCCAAAAUGGAUGAGCUACAGGGGAGAAGGAUGCUCAUUGUCAUUCCAUAUACCUCCAGUCUUCCAAGGCUUAGUUCUUUGGUUUGAUAAGGAUGAUAAGGACACUUCCGUUAAAAUUAUUAUAAGAAAUAAUAGCAAUGGUAUUUGCUUGUUUAAAUGUACGCAAUGGGCUUAUCAUCCAAAAAAUGGAUGUAUAAGAUACAUAAGUAGAAGUAAAAUGGCAAUGGAAGAUUACUGUGCAGAUGACGAAUUGGAACUAUCCAUUUAUUCACGGCAACGGGGGUAUUCACUGCGCAACGAUGAUUCAUACCAACCCGCAGACAUUAAAGAAUGUGCGGUCCAUGUGAUCGCAGGGAAGUCAGAUUCAUUUGAAGAGUUGGCAGUGAGAACAGAUACUGUGAUGCCUUCACCACCGCUGUAUCAUCUGCUUCCUCAUCCCCCAUUGUGGUUCGAUUACAGCGUCUACACCUAAGCAAUGGACUGACUUUUUAUUUGCGAAGCUGCAAAACCAUAGCCUCAGUUCAACUUUGGUAAGAACAUAUUUCAUUUAGUUAUUUUUAUUCUAUUAUUUAAUUUAUGAAUUAAAUAUUAUCUUUAAUUAUUUUAUUUUUUUAUUUAAUCUAAAAAAUUAAAUAUCAUCUUUAAUAAAAACAAUUAUUAAAUAUUUAAGGCUUUUUGGUAAGAAUACAUAUUUCCUUUAGUUAUUUCUAUUUUAUUCUAUUUAAUUUAAGAGAUUAAAUAUCAUCUUUAAUUAUUUUAUUUUUCUUAUUUAAUCUAAAAAUUAAAUAUUAUCUUUAACAAUAUUUUUUAUUAAAUAUUUAGAGUUUGCUUGGUUUUAUUUCUUUUCUUGAUUUUAUGAUAAUAUUUUUCUUAUUUAAUAUAAAAAAUAAAUAUUAUCUUUAAUAAUUAGAUCUAUCGAAUAUCACUUAAAAAUAAAUUAUAACUUUAAUAAUUAUUUUUUGAAAAACAAAAAGCCAACAAUCACUAACAUAUUUUAUUAAAAUCACUUUAGUUUAUUUAGAAAAUAUUGAAAACUGAUUUUUGUUUUUUACAUUAAAAUAAAAAAUUGAAUAAUGUUUUUAUAUUUUAUUUCAAACUCGAUAUUUUAAAACAAAAAUGAAAAAGAUGUGAUAUUGACCUUUUUAAUUUAACUUUCUUUUCAAAUUUGAUGGUUUUUUAGGAGAGGGGUAUCUUUGACGUUGAUUGACGUGAGAGUACAAGAUCAUUUUACAUAGAGAUGCUUGAAAUUGCUCCAAAUCAGUACGAUACUUUCAUCUGACAUGUUGAUAUGUAUUUAUUGGCUUGAAGAUUAUUUUCCAAGCUUGGAAGUUUUAUUGAAUUCUCUUUGAAAUCUUUUCCAUCCGCUGGACAACCUAGCUGUUAAUUAUUAUGCAUGAUGUAAUUUAUAUUUUCAAGUUACAAAUUUUGAUGAAUAUUGUUUCAUUUUUUUCCUCACUUCAAAAGAUGAAAAUCCUUGAUGUUAGUUAGAAAUAAAUUGGUUUUCUAGUAAGAGAUUAUUUAUUGGAAUAUAGUAUUUGAGUUGGUUAUAUAUAAUUUAAAAUAAUUAAUGAAAAUUACCGAUAUAUAGGAAAGUUUUGAGAGCAUCCUUAAUUAGUCUAGUAAGUAAAGUGUUGUUAGUUUUGACUAUAAGAUCUUGCUAUGUAUUAUUGCAUGGUUUUUACUAUUUUUAGGCAUUUUUCUUUUGGUAUAUACAACUUUUGUUUUUCUUGCCGUUUGUUAUUAGCUUUAUGGCACCAACACCAAUUAAUAAUAAAUCUUGAACUAUUAUUAAAUAAAGAAAAAAUAUAAACAUUGUUAAAACACCAAACUUGAAUUGCUCAAACCUAAAGAAACCCUAUGACAAUAAUCUAAUUUAGAAAAUAAUUAAUUUAUCCUUGUAGUCUAAGAAAAUAGUAUUUAAUUCUUAUGUUUUCAUAUACAUCUAUGAUUUAAUAUGUUGAUUGAAAUUGGCAAGUGAGUUUACUCGCAUAUUGUUAUAUUGGUUUUGAGUUCAAAUAAAUGUUUAAAAAGGAAGUUUUUUCAUGAAUGUAACCCUUCAUGUAUUCAAUAUGAAUGAUGGGAGAUUUUGAUGUCUUGUGAAUGCAUUUAUUUAUAUAUCGAUGAUUUUGUUAAGAAUUGGUUGGUAAAAAACUUAAUUUCGAUAUAUAAAAACCGAAGAGAGAACAAUAAAUAGAGAGACUAGUAAAGAUUUUAUGUGCUUUUUUUUUUUUUAAUUGGAUUACCUUUGUCUUUUGUUUCAAGUAAAAUUCUAGUAUAUAUCACUAAAUUAAGAAUUAAAGGUCUAAUUAUAUGAACACAAUUUUAAAGACUACAUCAACUACAUUUCAUAUGCUCAACUCUAAGCAAAUUGAAAUUUCAAGGCCAUUUGUAUCUUGAAAACACAAUCUCAAUAAUUUUAAUAUUGAAUUAUUAUUUGUUAGGUAACUAAGAUUUGUUGACUUGAAAAAUAGCACUAAGGAACACAAAUUCGUACUGUUUAUCUUCUUGGCAUUGUUCAAAGGAAUGCAAAAAGACACUCCAAUUGUGAAAAUGUAUUAUUGUCAUAAAGUAAAACUUCCAAAGAGUGAAAUAAAGAGCAAGAGCAAAAAAAUAAUUUGUGUGUGUAUAAGCUAAUUGAAAUGAAGAUUAGAAUAAAAAGGAUAAAAAAGUGAGAGACUCGUUAAGAUUUUAUGUUAAUGCUCAACAUGUUCUUUCUUAUUUAUUUUUAAUUGGAUUACCUUUAUCUUAACGAGUGAAAUAAAGAAACACUCCCCCAUCUUUUUUAUUCCCUUUCCCUUCUUUACAUGGCUUACUCAAUGAAAAAGCAAUUAAACACCCCAUUUGAUUUUCAAUCAAUAUGAGAGUGAGAAAGAGAGAGGCCAAGGUGGUCUUUGAAUAUUUUCUUCUUUUUUGUCUCGCUCACUGGGGCAAACCAUUUUUUUCAAAAUUUUGAAUAGCAUGCCAUCAAAAAGAAUUUUGUUCAAUCCCAAUCCCACAUACACUUUGUUAUUUUCCAAUCCCUCCCUAGUUCUGCAACCAUUUCUCUACUUUCUAUGCUCUUGGCUUGCUAAAAACUAAAGAAAACACAUUGCUCUAGUUGCCUGCCUUCACUCUUCAGAUUGCUCAACAAAACCCUUGAGACCUUCUCCAUAGUUAACAUACCACAUAAUGGCUACUCUAAAAAAUUUAGCCAUAAACAAUGAACACCUUAGGCAAUCAACGUCCCUUCCUUCAUAAUAUGCAUCGCCCAUAAAUCUUUCUUUUGGGAUGUCGUCGGGAGUUUAAUCUCCGAGUGUAAAAAUUAUGUAUAAAUUUCCAUUCUUUCCUUCCAUCCAUUACUUGUCCUCUAUGAAGAUUUUAUGUAUGAAACCUCGGAAUCUUUUCAAGUAUAACUUGGGAUCAACAGCUGAGAUAGACGUGGGAUCCACUUGUAUGCAUGCUCUAGCUUUUUGCUGAUAUCAUAAUCCUGGAGGAUGUCAAUGAUACCAAAGUGAAGAACUACAUUGAAGAUCUCUUUACCAUUGUGUGAAGGUGUUGAAUUGUUACUUCCACCCCCCAUCCACUGAUCCAUUUCAGUAGUCCUCAUUACAUGCUCGGCUCUUGCAGGCACAUUUGCCCCCAGUCAGAUGAAUGGCCCCCUGGAACAGAUUUCAUAUGAGUACUACAAGCAUGCAACGCCAGUUAAAAUCUUGACAUUGCAUCACACAAUCACCAAAAUUCAAAGUAACAAAACGAAGAACAAAAUGUGAUAACAAUGACAAUGACACUUUUCAUCAUUAAUUUUCCUUUUCACAUUGAUUUUCAAUGUUCCGGGCAGAUAAAAUAGCAUUGAUUUACAACCAUGGUUUUAAGGCAUCAUUAUUGGCAAAAACAUUGUAGGACAAAGCAGACUUAAAGAUCAAUGCUUCAGUUGUCAAUCACAUUAAUAAUUUAUAUUUGAUCGUCUAAAAGGGCCUAGAAUAGGACCAGGUAAAAGUUUGUUUUUAUCUAAGAAAGCAAGAAGGUCUCCACAAACUACCCCCAAUUUCGCCACUACAGCCUAAGUCACUUUGAGUCAUUCCAACAAAUAGGAAUUGAAUUCAAAGGAAUAAAUCAUUAAUUAAAUGCAGGGCUCCAAUGUGGGAAAGGGAAAAUGAUUCACUAUUAAAAAGAAAAGCUCAAACACAAAUUAUAGCUUCACUUUUUGUGAAUUAUAUCUCAAAUUUCAUUGGCUGGAUGAUUUAUUGAUAUUUUAAGAAAGCAGUCUUCAUUGCUUUUCAAAACCAUACUAUGGGUCCAUAGACAACUAAAGUUAAACAUGUGGCACAUACCUAGUAGAAAAGAAGAUGCCACAACAUUGCACUUCAUUGCUUUUCAAAACCAAACUAAAGUGCAAUGUUGUGGAAUCUACCUAAUGAGUUCAUUAAACCAUGACCGUUCCAGGCAAAAUACAAAGUUUAGAUCGAGGUCCUUAAGUGUGGUUGUUUCAUCAAUUUCACCAUCAAGCUUGUAAGUCGUGCGUCCAUGAAAAGAGCCUUUCAAGUCAAAGCGUUUAUGGAUACGGUACUCGGAACAAAACAGGUUUCUCAUUACAACAAAAUGAGUCUAGAAUUACAUUGCAUUGUGAACAGUAAUUAGAAUAUGAUUAUACAUUAUGUAGAAAGAACAUCUCAAUGAAAACUGUACCGUCGUGAUUAUACCUUUCGACCUCCCACUGGUUUAACACAAUGUACACCAAAGAAAUUUGUUACCAAGGAGUUCUUGUACUGGCAAACAUGUUGGUAGUAACUUGGAAGCAUCUUAAUAAGAACCUGAAUAUGGUUCACAAUAGGUUGUGAAAUCUAUCCACAUGAUAAAAAUUAAAAAUAAGUGUCUAAGACUUAAAUUGGUAUAUAGAACCAAAUUACUUGCCCUACGUAUUGCUACUUGAGUAAUAAUCACUUUCAUACAUUUGCUGCUUUGUAACAUGUUGAAUUGCGAAUUUAGGGUAGCUAAAUUACUAACCUUGACUUCAGAUUUUUUCACAGUUUUGAUUAUGAAACGAUCAUCUUGAGUUAGAUAAAAGAAGCUUCCACUCUUCCCAGGGGAAGAAAAUUCUCUAAGUGCAUCACUUCCACAAAUCGUUGCAUGUAAUUCACUGGAUCUAUUGAAAACAAUUCCCUCAGAUAUCUAAACACCAAACAAACCAACCACCACCAUAACAUAGGAAAUCAGAGACAAAUUCAAUAUCUCCUUUCUUGGACAUUCAAUAGAAGAUUAAAAAUGAAGUAAUAAAGCAUUAUAUGUUCCAAAAAUCCGUAAAAAAAUAAUAAAAAUUCCUAAAAAUAAUACCUGAAUACCAUGGGACAAUAAUCCUUCCAUCUGAAAUCCAUAGAUUGAUGUGGAAGCCUAGACUUUGAUACUUCCGGUGGAAACCUUGUCCAGAACUUUUCUUUAGGAUAAAACAUAGAAGCCUCCACAUUAUCAACAAUAUCACAAGUAAUAUCACUAGCCUCCCCAUCCAACUCCUAAAUACAAAUCCGAGGAAAAUUCCCAUCCACUGAUGACCUCUUCCUCCCUCCCCCAGCCCCAACUACUGGAUCCAAUGCCACCCCUUUAAAAUCCUCUCCACCACCACCAAGAACUCUCCCAUUCACAUUCCCACUACCAAAUGUAAAAAUUCCUUUCCCUUUAGGCACCCCAUUUUCCAAGUACCCUUCAUACCUCUUCCCAUUAACCCAAACCAAUACCCGUUUCCCAGAUAUCACCCCAUGUUUCCACUCACCAACAUACUCAUUCCCAUUACACCACCUAUACUUCCCUUCCCCAUCCUGCAAAUUAAACUUCCAAAAACCUUGAUAAACAUCCCCAUUGGCGUACCUUGUCUCACCAAAGCCAUGCUUUUUAUCACUAAUCCAAUUUCCAAUAUAAACUUCACCAUCUACACCAAUAAAAGUACCAUAACCAUCCAUUCUCCCUAACUUAAACUGACCUUCAUAAGUAGCUCCUGAUGGCCAAGAAAACUUCCCACCUCCAUUAGCCUUCCCUCUCCUCCACUCUCCUUCAUACAUACACCCAUCACACCACAAAUACUUCCCCUUCCCAUGUGGCACACCAUCCACCACUCCCCCAGCAUAAAUAUCCCCAUUGGGCAACACCUUCUCCACCAAGGAACAACCAGUGUCAAUACGAGAAGUGAUGGUGGUGGUCAUCGCGUCACGCGUGGGAGUCACGCGCCGGUAGUUGGGCUGGGAUCGGGUUCUUGUGGUCACUAUAUGGAACAAUGAGGGGACUAGCAAAGACACAUCUUUGCUGUUUUUGGCUUUGAUUUUGGUGUUUUCUGAUAGUGUGGCCAGAAGGGUCUCUUGAAUUUUGCUUUUUAUGCCGGUAAAUGCACCGGCGGAAACAUUUUCGGUGAUUGUGCUAUAUUCUUAAACGGUUUUCUUGCUCUUUUGUGAGUCAAAAAAUAAAAACAAAAAAUGUAGCUUUCUUGUUGCUUUGAAGAAUGGGCGAGAGAAAUGGCAGAAAAAACAGUGGAAGGGAAGAGAAAAAGCAGAAGACCAAAGACAGAGAGAGAGGGAAUGGGCCGUCUUUUGUUGUUGUUUUUGGUGUCUGUCUAGUCUAGGGAAGCUUGUCGGCAGGCUUUGUUCCAGAGAGGGAUCAUUUUUUGUGUUUUAAGAAAUAUAGGGAGUAAAAUGGGAUUAGGCUUUGGGUAUUUUUAGUAAAACCUACACUGUUAAGGUCGGGUAAUAAAACAAUAUUAUUUUACUAAAAAAAAAUCAAUAAAUUGAGAAUUGGUUAAAUAACCAGCCAUUUCCGAUUUUAUAACGGUGAUUUCAGGUGAGUGAGGUAUUGUUGAGGAAUUUAGGGUUUAGUUGGGGGUAUUUUAGGGAUAUUUGGGAGAAAGGGAAGAUAUAAUUAAGGUAGGAAGAACAUUUCUUGAUUUAUGUAAAUUGAUUAAUUUAAAGAAGGUUUGAUUGAUAAUGCAACCCACAAACAUUUAAACAUUUGUAGAGUGUAAUUGACUAAAAAAAAUGAAUAAAAGACAUUAUGAACAAAUCAUUCUUUAUUAUUUAAUUGAUUUGUCAAAGUUUCUAAUUUUGUUUUAAAACUUGUUUCAAUUGGCUUUUUUUUUUUUUGCUUUUUUUUAUAUUUUAGAUAUUUUUAUAAAAAAAAUAAAGUAAUUAUUAUUGUAUAUAUUUAAAUUAAACUAGAUAUGAUAAUUAACAAUCAAAUUAAAGUUUAUAUGAUUUUAGUGAUUGUAUAUUUUUUUUUAAAAAAUAGAUUAAAAAAUGAAAAAAAAACAUAUAAAAAUAAAAAUACAAAUCGUAUCAAUUUAAUAUGGGAUAUUAAUAGGUAUAUGUGAGUAGUUUAGUUUAAUAGAUGGAGUACACAAUGGUAGGUGUUCCAGGUUUUUUUUUUUUUUUUUUGUAUAUUCUCUCUUUUUUUCACUUUUUGUGAUACUAAAUCAAAUAUAUUAUUACUAGAUAUAAAAUAAUUUAUUCAUUGCUUAAUUAAAAUAUUAUAAAAAAAAUUAUCUUUUACCAAUUUAAGAUUUUUAUUAUUUAAAAUUUGAGAUGAUAAUGUAGAAUAAUUUUGCUUGGACCGACAACAUCUCCAGCAUAUACACAAUACUAUUUUAAUUUUUUUAGUAAGGCAGUGCAUCUUAGUUGUACAAGACAAUGCAUGGUUUAUCCAAGCAAAAUAAUUUGCUUAGACUUUUCUUAAAUUCUUCAAACCCUAAACAUGAUUUUCAUCUCAAAUUAUUCUUUAAUGAAGUUGAUUAGAAUUUGAUCAAUUUCACCAAGGAAGAGAAAAAAAAAACUAUUAUUAUGCUCCCAAUCUCUCCCUCAACUGUAAUUAUAAAACUUGAUUUGAUAAUCAAUUUAAAAUAAAAUUCAAUAUUAAAAAAAUUAAUCUAAAUUAAUCAGAAUUGAUUUUAUUUUUUAAAAAAUACAAAAAAUAGUCAAUAAAUUAAGAAUUAAGUUUUAUUCUUUAUAACUUGGGUUUUUGACCAAAUUAAGGUAUGUUAUUUUUUUUAUAUUUUUAAUUUAUCCUCUAAAGGUUUGAACAUUGCUCUGUUUUUUUUUUUUUUCCAUUUUAUUUCUCAAAGCUAUAGUGGUAUAUAAAUUUCUUUAGCUGGUGUUAAAUCUUCUAUCCAGACUUUAAACAAUGACAUGUGGGAAGAAAACAAGUGAAGUGUCAGUCACUAAUUACCAUAUAUACAGAAACUGUCACAAUUAAUAAGGUAUACAGAACCAUUAUAAAAGCUAAUUUUUAAUGGCAGUUUCCUCGGUGGAUGUCCAUACAAGAAAGGGCAUCAAUUAGAAUAGGUGUCUUAGUUAUAGGUAUAUGCCCUAACUAUUCUUCAAGUAUAAAUUUACACCAUUGUCAUUGUAAAUAUUUUAUUUAAAAAUGUUUAUGGAUGGCAAUAGAUAAUAACUUGGCACAAGAACUAUAUCACAACUUAAAAAUAAGUUUAUCCAAGUCAAUUUUAAAUAUUAUGAAUAACAAAGUUAUUAAAUCUAUUUCAAUUCAUGAUUUAGCCCAAAACCCAAUACAAUUUUAAUUUUAGGAAAAAAAAAAAAGUUUAAGAGAAGAAAUUUAUUGAUUAAAUAAGGAUAGUAAUUUCACCAAAUCCAAUUGAUACCAACUAGAAUGGAUAUUGAUUUUUUAGACCUGAUAAGAUUUAAGUCAAAAUAUAAAAAGUCAAGUGUUGGGUUGGGUAGGAUAUUGAUUUACUCAACGGAACCGAAACAAAUAAAUAACCUUAAAUUUUAAAAAAAUUACAUGUAUACCAAGCCAAUUAUAAAUUAAAUAAUUGUAAAUUAUAGCAUUCGAGCUUUAAGUCUAGAUUAUAAAUACUUGAUAGGUACUCGAAAUCUAAUCAAGUUAGUUUUUGGUAUAAAAAAUUUAUACAAAGUCAAACUUGACCAAUGAGUAUCCAUAGCCAUCCCUGUAAACAAAUGCAUGUGUUUCCAUGAGAAUGAGUUGUCGAAGAAGUUCAAAGGGCAAGGAGGGAGAGUGCUUUAAAAAAAAUAGAGUAGAGAAUAAAACAGGGGAGCAAUGCUUGAGAACAUGCAUUGCUGAACUUCUUGCUUGAUUUCGCCAUGUUAUGGAAGCAUAAAACCUUCACAAUACUGCUUCACACCUCCUUUUCUAUGCUAUCAUGCCAUGAACAUAUGAUGACAAGAGGCCUUGCAAGGACACAUCAAGGUGAUGUUUAAUAUAUAUAUAUAUAUAUUUACUUUUAGAAUGUUUUAAUGUUAAAAAUAAAUUUUAAAAAAUAAAAAAUUUCAUUUCAAUUUAUUUCUAAAUAAAAAAUAUUUUAAAAAAUAACAUUUACAAAAAAUUAUCUUAGUGCAUUAGAAGAAGCAAAAUCCAACUCUAAUAUGAUCUAUAAAGUGACCAACCAAACUUAGCACCUGGAAACUAAGCGCGCAUUUGACUAAAAAAAGAACUUUUAUUUCUUUAAGUUCUUAAGAGUUCUUUUUUUUCUUUCUAAUCAUUUUAUAAAACAUUUUAUAAAAUUCCUAAAACCAAGUUUUUGAGAUUUGAAAUUAACAUGAAAUCAUUUUAACAACAUAUAUUAUCAAAUACCUUUACGAUCAUAGCUACAACCACAACUAAAAGCCUAGGCCCUAAGCCUUUUUUUCUUCUUCAGGUUCGCAUUCAAACGAAUAAAUUCAUCGAAAAUUUCCGUCUGUCUCAACAUUCAAAUCCAAAAUGAUAACAUAAAAAUUAAACUCUCAUCCUAGAUGAGCUAAAUAUUUCGAUCCAGACUCAGACAAGAACUAGAUGUAUUUCUAGGGUACGCAGAACCAUCAUUACUUGUUGUUGUAUACUGUAAAUGUCAGUUGAUUCUUGCAGUACUUCUGGAAACAAUUUUUUUUUUCUUUUUUCCUUUGAAACAAAUUUAUUUUUCUCUUUGAAUAUAUUCAGGAAAGAGGAAAUAAAGAAUGGUGUAAAUCAAAAGAAAAGAAAGGUGCAGAUUAUGCUGCUAGUCAAAAUUUUGAUCAGUGGAUACUUGGCCAAAGAUAUCAGGACAUGAUUCCCAGUUGCCCCUUUCCUUGGCUUCCCAGUAACCACCAAUAUAGCUAUAAGUUUCACCGCCUUUCUCCUUCACAAACCACCGAGGCUUCCAACCUCUCUCUUCCAUCUUCCGUGCCUGUGAUUGUUGAAAAGAAUUCUUAUUAUCCUCUAAUUUACUACAUUUCAUAAACAGUAGUCAGUAGAAGUGUCGUGCAAGUGUGUGUACAAAUGCAUUGGUGUAAAUACAGCAAGAUCAUUCCUUGAUGCAUGCACGUACCUGUCGUUGCCUCUGCUCUAGUCGUAACUUCUCUUCAUUGGCCUUUGUAUACUCUCCAUUUUCCAAGCAUCUCUGAUCAGGUCUCAGCCUGGAGUCUGUUGAUGGCAGUUUCUCCUGCGUAUAAAUUUAAUGUCAGCAGCUACGAAUGGAUACCUUGUUCUCUACUGCAGAGGAGCAGUGAGACAUGGCAUUUCUUGUAAAGAAAGAUAUUUAUCAUAUUCAAAUCUUUCACCAACCUUAAGCUCCUGAUGCGGAACAAUAAAGAAUAAGAAUUAAAACAGGAAAAGAAAUAAGCUUUAGGGGAAAGAAAGAAGCUAGAGAAGAGGAAGAAAGGGGAUUGGAGAUAUGCAAAUUCUGCAAUUUUCAUUAAUCAUCAAAAGUACCUCUCAAAAUGACAAAAGAACAUAUAAAUAGUAAACCCUAAAAGUAAACCCUAAACAUCCUGCUAUUUGGGCUCGGCCCAUCAAAUCGAACUGUUUAAUAUAAAUAACAAUGAGUAGGCCCAGAUGGGCUAAAUAAAUAAAUAACAAUAAGCAGGCCCAAAUGGGCUAAAUAAAAUAACAAUGAAAUAGGCCCACAUGGGCUUAGUCUCCCAACCAAAGUGUGACAGGCUGGGCCAUCCUACGCCGUCUCCGUCCAUAUACUUGUGUAAUCUGUGGUGUGGGCCUGGUGUCUCCACCAGCUCCGGUGUGAGCUCAUUCAGAGUUAUAGCAAAGCGUGUUAGAUUGUAUCUGGUCAGAUGCUUUGAUGGUUUACUCCGCUUCCAGAGCAAAUGGGGCUCUGAUCCGUUUGCAUUCCUUGAACCACCAUUAAUUUUAUAGUGCAUGCUAUCAUCCCAUUUUCCAAAUAAACUUGCCACUGUUUUACCAUUCUUAUCUUGAACACCACCUAGUACCUAGAGAACAAAUAGUAUUGCUGCAAUUAAUGGUAAUGCCUAAUCAUGAUUCAUUCACAAAAUGAGAUAAUGCAAUGAGAACCUGAUAUGAGGGAAAACAUCAACAGACAAAUAUUGAUAGUCUUAUGGGUGACAAGCUAAUGGUCAAAUGAUUUUUCACCAAGCAAGCUUGAUAUCAUUACAAAAAAUGUGUUGGAAAUUGUUGCAUGAAAGGGCAGAACCUCUAAAGUAAUGUGCACGGGUAUACAAAUUUGACUAUACAACCGACAGAAAAGAAUAAGCCAGGAAUCAAACUAUCAUUAGAACAAAAAACCUGAGCUUAGGCUUAGCCUGUAGGAUACAAGUUUAACAAACUUAAAAAGCAAAAGAGACCUUGGAGACAAAACAUAAGCGAAAUAUUAUACAGCAUGAUGUGGACCUGGAAAAAGAAAUUUUUAGAAAAAGAGAUAUUUUCUAAUAAAUCUUCGAGGAUAGAAACUCCCAAUAUAUUCCAGGAACACUAGCGUCACUAUUCUUUCAAGCAGUCAAGUGCUUCAGUAGUACAAUGACUACACAUUAGUUGCUUUAUUAAAAUGAAAUUCAAGAUGGAUCAUUUACUUUGAUGAAAAAUAUGGAAAUGGGGAUAUUGGAACCUGGUGGGGAUUCCUGUCAAUGAGUGACUGCUCUUUGAAUUUUAGCUUGCAGGAGUAUUUCUGAUUCCCCUGUAUCUUCAUUGUACCAUAAUGAUCACAGUAUAGUUUCCCUAAAAUGAGGUUGUAAAUGGAUGUUGUCACCUGAUAAGAGAAAGACAGCUUAGCAGGAAUCUUAUAGAGAAUGGUAAGAGCUGUAAAAUGCCAAAAACAAACCUUACUCCACUGGAAAAUUUCUCCAUCAUCAAACUCUAGUGUUAAGGUGCCAACAGGAUCAAGUUGAAUUGAACGACCCCAAAAUUUACUUUUUAAAUCACUUUCACCCCAAAAUUUCCAGCCUCGACCCUCACAAUGGCAGGCAACAACCAUUGGGUGAUGACUAACCUGUUUCAAGAUGAGCCACAUUGAUAUGUUAAAAAUCAGUAGUGGCAUUUGCUACUUACUGACAAUGUGUAAAUGUGUGCAAAUACGCUUUCAAUUACAUAAUAUUUUUCUUUUCAGAAGCAACCAUAAAAAGGCAUGUCAUAUUAGACGUGUAUAAAUAAAGAACGAUUGCUUAUGGUGCUUCUAGCAGUGAUAGAGACACCUUCUCAGAGAUAAAGCGAAUGCCUUUAUCAGGAUAAUCGGCCUCAUAUGUUUCCCCUAGUAGUGGAUUGAAUGGCUUGCAAUGUCUUCCAUCAGUAGAGGCAUAUCCUGAUACUGCAAACGCUGCCACAUUGAGUGCUCUCAUAAGGCUAUUACCCUACAAAAAAUAAGCCAAGAUCGUGAGCACAUUUAUUAAGAGAACAGUGUAGGGUGAGAGGGUGAUUUGUCCAAAAUUCUUCCAAGAAAACUAAAAUACUGCACACUUGGCACUGAGAGCACUAGGAUUUAGGACACACUUCCACAUACAAGCACAGAGACCAUGCAGCAGCAACAGUCUGAUUAAUAGUAGUUCACAACAGAGCAUUUAAAGUAUAACUUCCAUGUCCAUAGCUUCUUAAGAAAUCUUGUGAUGGCUGUAAUAAAACAAUAAUAGGCGCAAGCAACAAGUCUCUUUGGUAGACACACUAGUUUCAAGUAGGAAAAAUCAUAACUUUGCUUUUGCAAGACAAGUAAAACUAGCAUGGUUUCAAAAAUAGUAAACGCUAGUGGCAGGCAUACCCCAAAAAGUUUGUAACCAGCAACGGUACAUUGACUAAAUGACAAGUAUGUGGUUUUUUUUUAAAUCAACUGUCAGAAAAGGAUAAGAAACAACAAGAAAGGAUGAACCUACCAUUUUACCAAAUUCAUAGGCUCGAUCUAUGUUGUAACCUAUUUUUGGGUCCCCAUAAAAAAUAAAAUAAAUAGCCAAAAAAGGUUAGAAAAAUAACAGGAGGCAUGAAGCGCCCAGAAAAUGGUUAGAAAAAUUAGUCAAGGAGGUUAAAAAUACAGAGAUGAAUUUUUGACAAUAUAUUCUUGAAUGAUGAGAGCCCUGGUAAGAAAAUUUGAUUUUUUGAGGAGAAAAGUCCAAAUUUGGAGAUUUAUGGACUUAAUUGGAUUUUUAAUUGAAUUUAUAAAGGGUUUGAUUGCAAGAAAAAUUGAUUUUUAAGUCAAUUUGGGCUUUAAUUGGAAGAAAUUUAAGUUUUGGGGCCAAAAUAUAUUUUUUAGGAAUUUAUUAGGUCAAAUCAGGGGCUUAAUUGCAUAAAUAUUGAAGUUUAAUGGCCAAUUAGGGGCUUAAAUGUGAAAAUCCGAAACCAGGGACCAAUUUGGAAAAGGCGCGAAGAUAGAGGGGGCUGUAUUGAAUUGAUUCAGGGGCCUAAUUGAAGAAAUUGGAAGUUUAUUGAUCAAUUGAGGGUCAAAUUGCAUAAAUCAGAGGACAAGGAUCAAAGUGGAAAAGGCGGCCAAAUAUGAGGGCGGCAAUUGAAUUUUCGAAGGAUGCAAUUGAAAUGAACAAAAGAAAAUUGAGGGUUGAUUUGAAAAUGGAAACGUUCUGGCGCCACAUUUAAAUGAAACGACGCGUUUUGUCCAAAACGACGCCGUUUCAUGUAAAAAAAAAAAGAAAAAAAAAAAAGAAAAGGAGAAGAGAACUAACCGAAGGGAGGAGAGAACUGACCGAAGGGGGGAAGGGAGAAGAAAAAACCCGAGACUAAGAGAGAGAGAGACUGAAGGAGAGAGAAACAGUUGAACUAAAGUAAUAAACACAUAAAACUCAAGGAAACGAAACUGGGAGAAGGGGGAAGAGGACAGGAGCCGGGGAAGAGCUUAGAGAAAACGAAGACCGAGCAGCACCGCCAGGUUACCGAACCGUUGGGAACCGCCGCUUUGAGCCACCAACCUCCGCUGCAGCACCAUCAACACGGACGUUCGACCAACAGCAUCGCCUCCGCCGUGCCAGGUAUUCUUCUCCCCCUGCAUUUUUCAUUUUGCCCUUACUUUAGUUCUUUCCUCAUGCAUGCAGAAUCGUUCUGCAUGCAGGAGUUAGGGGAAGGGAAAAUAAUUCCCUUCCCCGUUGGGUUCUUAUACUGGGCCGGGUUUCCGGCCCAGUUUUGUUAUUAGUUUUUUUGGGCCAGACCGAGUCUGGCCCAAAGAGAAGUUUUUGUUGGGCCGAGAUCGGCCCAGCCACCUUGCGGGCCGAGAUCGGCCCAAUCCUGUUUUGGGCUGAUGUUUGGCCCAUUUCCAACUGGGUUGGGUUCGGCCCAUUUAGUUGGGCCGGCCCAGCCCGUUUUUUAUUUUUAUUAUAUAUAUUAUGAAUUAUAGUAGAUUAUAAUAUAUAUGUGUGUAUAUUGUGUAUAUAUAUUUUUACUUUAAAAAAAAAUAUAUUUCGAAAAAAUCUAAAAAAAAAAUAUUGUUGAUUUCCUUGAAUAUUUUUGUCAAAAUGGGUUAAUGUUGGUUGGUAUUUUUAUACUGUAAAGAUACAAAAUCAAUGUUAAAAAUACUUGGUUUUCGUAAAAACAUCAAAGAUUUUCAGAAUAAGAAAUGUUUUUGCUUUCAAAAAAUUUUCUAAAAAAUCCCUAAAAAUAUUGUUGAUUUUUCUGCAUUUUUUUUUAUUAAAGUGGAUUAAUAUUGGGUUGUAUUUUUAUACCGUAAGGAUACAAGCUCAGUAUUUAAAUACCCGAUUUUCGUCAAAACCUAAAAAACAAAAAAAAUAAUAAUAAUAUUUUCAAAAAUUGUUUUGUUUUAAAAUACGGCCUGGUCUCUCCAAUAUAUAUAGAUAUAAACAUUAUAACAUCAUAUUUUUUUUACACAACAAAGAAAAUUUUCAAAACAAUAUAUGAAUUAGCAUGCAUUUUGGCUUUAAUGACCAGUUUAUUUAAGCCAUGAGAACUAGGCCAAUAUUUCAAAAAAAUUCUAAAAAUCUUUUUGUUUUCUCUUAGUAUUUGGGAUUACGAAUUUAUACGUAAAACGUAUUCCUAAAUAUUAUUUUUUUGUAUAGACGUUAGAACGGUUAGGAUUUUACUCGAUAAGAUAAAAGACCUUCUUACUGAGGAGGAUUUUUCUUGAACCAUAGACAGACCCACGACUAGAAGUACAAUAACAUCUUAGUUUUUAUCAGACAAUAAAACAAUGCAGCUUACUUUAGGUAGGGCGUAUUUGGGGUGCUAAUACCUUUCCUUUACGCAACCAGUCCCCAUACCCGAUCUUUGAGACCAGUUAGGGUUCUUAGUGACCAAAAUACUAAGUGGCGACUCCCAUUCCAUUUUCUACUCACAAAAGACAAUAUUUUCUUGUAUCCCCAUAGAUAUGGAUAGAUUUACAUUGUAGAUAAGAAAAUGGAACAACCAAUAUAAUUUUCGCCGCGACGCCGCACACGUGCGACAAUCUAGAAGGAACGAGUAUUCCAAAUCCUCAAAACAUUUCUGUAAAGAAGAGAUGGGCUCAUUGAAAUAAACUGGAAGACAAACUCUAGUAAGAUCCUUCCCGAUAUUAUCUUUAAUCAUUGACCAAAGACUGACCCCCUUCUCCUUCUCAACUGGGUCAGGCAAUUUCUUUCGCCUCAUAACACAAGGGUAGUUAGAUCCAACAAAUUUGAUACAGGAAUCCAUGCCAUCUUCAAUAUCAAGCGGGCCUUCGUCUUCAUCAGAAUCAUAUGGUGUUUUCUGAAAUUCAGAUUCAGCACUUUUAAACGAACUUGAUGAAAGAAAAUCUUGAGUAUCAAGGAAUUCAUCGUCAUCAUCUGUUUCCUCCUCUGCAGCAUCAUGUCUGUCAUGAUCAUCAUCGGAGCCACUUGCACUUCCCUCUACAUAAAUUCCACACAAAGAGGGUCAAAAGAUAAAGUUAAAAUGGAUGACAGAGUUCAAAAGGAAAACAGAGAAAGAGGCUAAAUAUUGAAGACACGAGCAAGAGACAGGGGGCGAGAGGCCAGGUGUUGGUUUUCAAUUAUCCAUGAGAAAUCAAUUAGAAAUAGGUAUGUAUAUAAAUGAGUUUGAUUUAAAUAGCUACUAGUAUAGCAAUCAACUUGGGAGUUUUGAAGCAGAGAAACUUCAGACAAGGGUAAAGUAACAGGCCACAGGAAUUCAUCAUAAAAGCAGAUAGAGGUGCCUCAUUUAACCCACUCACAGACAGCUCAUCAUUCGCAUACAAGGCGCCAUGCAAGGCAGCUGAAAGUAUUUCAUAGCAUCCAUUUUCAGAACAAAGGAACUUCUAACUAAGCAAAACUAUAAUUCAACCAAACAAAAGUUAACUAUAGAAUCCAUGGCUGGUCCUCCAAACAUUUCUUCUUACAUAUAAUCAGCUGCUAAAACAAAUAAACAUGCACAAGUAUUGCAUUCAAAUUUCAAUCUAACAUGAAGGAUUAACAAACACGUCAGAUUUAAUUAUUCCAUAACCCACUAUUAAUCUAUCAUCAUUACACAUAAUUUAUGUAAGAUUAUCUUUUAUCUUUGACAAUUAUUGCAUUGCUAAUAAUUUGCAAGAAAACAUACUUUUUCAAUUUCCUUUUAUUUUUUUUUAUUAUGUUAGUAGAUGCUAGAUGCUGUUUGUUUUUGUGUUUUAAAAAUAUUUUUAAAAAAAUUUGAGAUUUUUUUAUUUUUUUUAUUUACUUUAAAUUAAUAUUUUUAGAUUAAUUUAAUACGUUAAUUUUAAAAAUAUUUAAAAAUAAUUCGAUGGUUUUUAAAUAAAGUUUUUUUUAGAAAAUCAUGACCCAUCACUGGGUAUCGAAAAAACAAUUAUGGUUGAUUUAGCCUCAUCUUCUCUGCUUGUAAAAUUGAGGCAGAUUAUGAACUUAACCGAGCAAUUACGGCUUGAAAUUCCUAGCAAUUUACAAAGGAAUUUUCCUUGUUCUUUCUCUAUACAUUAUUAGAAAAACUGUCAUUGACUGAUUUAAUUGCAAAGUCUUUGCAAGAAAGCUAAAACAAUUAGAGUUUUUUAAAAUAAAAAAAAUAUAAAGAAAAAAAUAAAAAUUAAAAAUUAAAAAAGGAGCAAAAGGAAACAACCCCCGUAUUUAUUGUUCCCUUUCCCGUCUUUACAUGGCUUGAUGAAAAAGCAAACACCCCAUUAGUUGUUGCCACCAAAUUCAACUACACGCUUGAGAAAUUUCCUUGCUUUUUUCCCCUCUAAGUGUUACCUUUUACCUCUUUUAUAAUUUUGAUUAUUGCAUUGCUAAUAAUCUGCAAGAAAGAUGAUGAAAAUUUUUUAGUGAAUUCAAAAUAACAAAAUAAGGUUUGUCGAGGCUUUUCUUGGAACCUCGCUAGGGGUUUAAUUAGCGAGAAUGAAUUCUACAAAGAUAUCGGACUGUGAGUUUGUUUCACAAUAAUGACCUUGUGGGUGGACAAUCAGAAUACGUUAGUGAGACAAAAUAUAAUGAGGUUAAUAAUGGGCUUCUACCACUCAUCAUUUAUCCCCAGGGAAGGCCAGGUAGGCCUAGGCCACUGCUUCUGUUAAAAAUACACUUAAUUCAGCUUAGGCAUCAACAAUAUUUUGCAUUAGUCUUACCACUACAUUAUAAUUAUAAGAGCUGUCAAGAUUCUGUUAAGUUAAUCUUUUAACAGAUCAUAGCAUGAUAUAAAUUUGGUGCUAUAAAUUAGCAAUUGAGUUUGUUUGGUUUACUAUAUAUUUGUACGGAUUGCAAUGAUCCAAAUACAAUCAAUUCAUUUUAGUUCAAUAACAAAACUAAAAUAACACUUGUAAGGUGAUGCAUAUUCUUGCAAUAAAUAAAGCCACCAAAGGCAGAUGCGUAUGUCUAUAUAUACAUGAACUGCUGAUUCGAUUUGAACACCCCAUUUCUCCGAUUGCUGCAAUUUCAUAGCUAGCUCUUUGUUAUACACAGGUAUACACGGCUAACUCUUCUUUGCUUCUUUCUUGUUUUAAUUUCAUGUCUUUACCAAUAACAUUAAUGUGAAAGCUUUGUUUGUUUCAUGUUUAACUUCAGUUGCUAUUGUCUUAUGCUAUCUCAUUAUUAAGCUUAAAUUGCUGUAUUAUCUUCGAUGAUCACUUCACCUGUAUCAGCAAUUGCUAAAUAUUGAUUGUUCCUUAAAUUCUGCAGCUGAAAUGACAGAGCCAGAGUCUUCUCGCUCUAGACCAGAAGGGGCCUAUGAUGUCUUCUUGAGUUUUAGAGGAGCGGAUACUCGCAAGACGUUUACUGAAUAUCUAUAUGCUACCUUAAAUCAAGCAGGAAUCCACACUUUUCGAGAUGAUGAUGAACUUCCUAGAGGAGAAGAAAUCUCCAAUCAUCUCCUCAGGGCUAUUCAAGAAUCAAAGAUAUCCAUAGUUGUCUUCUCAAAAGGAUAUGCUUCUUCUAGAUGGUGUCUCGAUGAACUUGUAGAGAUUCUGAAGUGUGAAAAGAAGAAAACCGGUCAGAUUGUUAUUCCUAUAUUCUAUGACAUUGGUCCUUCAGAUGUGAGAAAACAGACUGGCAGUUUUGCAGAGGCAUUUGAUAAGCAUGAAGAGCGUUUUGAAGAGAAGUUGGUGAAGGAGUGGAGAAAAGCUCUCAAGGAGGCUGCAAAUCUAUCUGGAUGGAAUCUCAAUGAUAUGGCAAAUGGGUAUGCCUUUUUUUCUCUAAGAUUCACUUGCACACAUUUAUGGAGUCAUUAUACUCUACAUUUUUCAAUGUGAAACAAUAAAAUACUCAAUUGACUCGCUAUCAAUGACUUGCUUUUGUCUAUGAGCAGGUCUGAAGCAAAAUUUAUCGAAAAGAUUAUCAAGGAUGUGUUGAAUAAAUUAAAACACAAGUACUUGAAUGUUCCUGAGCACCUGGUAGGUAUGGAUCGGCUUGCUCGCAAUAUUUUUGACUUUCUAAGUACUGCAACAGAUGAUGUAUGCAUUGUGGGCAUACAUGGGAUGCCAGGAAUAGGAAAGACAGCUAUAGCAAAAGUUGUAUUUAAUCAACUCUGCAAUGGAUUCGAGGGAAUCUGCUUUCUUUCGGAUAUCAAUGAAACAUCAAAACAAUUCAAUGGUCUGGCUCUUUUACAAAAGCAACUUCUUCAUGAUAUUUUACAACAAGAUGUUGCUAACAUCAAUUGUGUCGAUAGAGGAAAGGUUCUGAUCAAAGAACGACUUCGUCCCAAAAGAGUUCUUGUUGUUGCUGAUGAUGUGGCUCAUCUGGACCAGCUGAAUGCAUUGAUGGGAGAUCGAAGUUGGUUUGGUCCCGGAAGUAGAGUGAUAAUUACAACAAGAGAUUCAAGUGUUCUACUUAAAGCAGAUCAAACAUAUCAAAUCGAAGAAUUGAAACCAGAUGAGGCCCUUCAGCUUUUCAGCUGGCAUGCCUUUAAGGACACCAAGCCAGCAAAAGAGUAUAUUGAGCUUUCGAAGAAAGCCGUUGAUUACUGUGGAGGACUUCCUUUAGCUCUUACGGUUAUAGGAGCUUGUCUGUCCGGGAAAAACAGAGGUAGAUGGGAAAGUGAAAUUGACUACUUGAGCAUAAAUCCAAACCAAGAUAUUCAAGGAAAGCUUCUAAUAAGUUAUCACGCACUUGAUGUUGAACUACAAAGAGCAUUCCUUGAUAUCGCUUGCUUCUCUAUUGAUAGAAAGAAAGAGUACAUCGCAAAAGUGCUAGGAGCCCGUUUCCGUUGCAAUCCAGAAGUUGUUUUGGAAACUCUCCGUGAAAGGUCUCUAAUUAAAGUAUUGGGAGAGACGGUAACCAUGCAUGAUCUAUUACGAGACAUGGGAAGGGAGGUCGUCCGUGAAUCGUCUCCCUUGCUUCUUGGAAAGAGGACCAGAAUUUGGAAUCAAGAGGAUGCAUGGAAUGUACUUGAGCAGCACUAGGUAAGAGCUCAAUGCAUAACGAAAGCACAGUCAUGCGUGUUUUCUAGUCAAACUUAUUACAAAUAAUUGUAUGAAAGUUGUAUUGAUUUUUUUCUUAGGAUAGGUAUGCGUCUUGCACUGGAUGUCAGAUCAUUAGAAGCUAAAUCAAAUGAAAUGCUUAAAUUUACUCCAAAUUAAUGGACUACAUCUCAUCGGAUCCUUCAAGCUGCUUUCUAAAGAGUUGAUGUGGAUUUGUUAACUUCAAUGUCCUUUGAAAUAUUUUCCAUCUGAUUUUACAGUUGAAAAUCAGAUUAAGCUUGCUCUUUAAAAACACAUAAAAAUAGUCAUGGAACACUUGACUGAUCAAACAAAAAAAAAAUUAUUUAUUUUCUUUUAUUGAGCUCCAUAGUUUAAACUCUCUCUUUUCACAUAAUUUUUAGUUUGGUGUAAAUAUUCUAAUGUUUUUUAUAAUCUUUAUAUUUAUAUUUUUCAAUAUAAGUACACAUAGCAUCAUUGAAUCUUUUGAUUGAAAGUAAAAGGUUUUAUCUCGUAAAAUCAUCUCUAGAAGGUUUUAUUUGGUCAGUCUUCGAAAACUUAGGGAUUAAAAAAAAAAAACUUCUUGAUUUAAUUUGGAAACCUCAAGGAGAAAAUUGAAACAAGUAUAACCUCACGGGGGAGAAGUUGAAUUCUCCCCAAACUCAGGGGUUAAUUAAAAUUAACCUUUAAAUUUCUAUCCAUGCCCAGGUGCCCACGAAAGAGAAGAGGUACAUCCACGUGAAGCUCAUUUUGGGUUUGGGUUAGUUGAAAAUAUCUAGUGGGUGGGGCUUUUUUUUCUGUUUUUCUGUUUUUUUUUUUUUUUUUUUAUGCACAGAAUACAUGAAAUAAUAAAUUUAAAUCCAACAAAUCCAAUAGAGAUAUAAUACUGUAUACGAUCAACAUGAAAGAAUUUUACGAAAAGACAUGCAAAUAUCAUAUAUUAUGAGUCUCUGCCAGUCAUAAUUCUAUUGUUGUGUAUCAUCAAUUAUCUUUCUUGUAUAGGAAAUAUCAGGUUGGAUUUUGCUGAUGACAAACUUAAUCUUAGAGAUUGCAUCUGCGGUUUUUGACCAGAUGGGUUACGCAUUAAUUGGCAUGGUGUUGGCAUUUGUAGCUUUGCUUCUUGCUGCCGUUGAACUCAUUCACAUGGCUCGAAAGGAAAGAACUAAACGGGAGGGCCUAUUGCCACCUUUUCAUCUCCAUGCAACUGGAAAGCCUGUUGGCACUAUUGUUGAGUAUUUUGGAUUGGCUGGUGCUGUCUGGCAAUGUGUUUAUUCGACUGUGGAGUAUAUGUAUACUCGUCAGAAGAAAGAUAAUCCAAUUAAGAUGUGUCUUCUACCUUUCAUUUUCUUAUUAUGCGUGGUGAUUUCCAAAUUAUUAGUCAACAAGAGUUCCGUUGUAAAUAGUUCUUAGCAAUGGUAUUUUCUUUGAACUAGAAGAAAUUGCUAGUAUUGUGUUCCAAGGACUCUUUUUAGUGGGAAUGAGUCAAAGAUUUUGAUUCCUAGAUUUUCUUAUCGAAGACCCAGACUUGUAAUGCAAUUAAGACACUAUUUUUGAGACAGUGAGCUUGAGUUGAUGUUGACAAUCUAGCUAUUAUUGAUAUGCGGUUAAGUAAUCUCAAAUAACUAUGGAAGGAAAAAACUGUCAUUGACUGAUUUAAUUGGAAAUUAUUUGCGAGAAAGCUAAAAAGAAUUAGAGUUUUUUAAUUUAUAAAAUUAUAAUUCUAAAUUCUAAAAAAAAAUUCAAUUAUUUUUAAAAUUAUUUUAAAAAAUAAAACAUCAACUAUUUAUAUAAUAGAUAAAUAAAUCUAUUAAAAUAAAUUGAGAAUAACUAGUAAAAUCAAGCAAAUAAUCCAAAAAUAACAAGAAAAUAAAUAUAUUUUCUAGAUCUUAUUUGAGUAUUUUUUUUUUUCUUGAUUGACUGCCUUGUCAAAGUCUUUAUUCAGCAUAAACAAACUUUAUUCUAAAAGUCUGUUUGAUAUUUCUUCACUUAUCUAUGACAUUACUUCUACUGUACAGAAUAGAAAUAAAAAUUAGAUGAUAUUGGAAUGACAAAAACUCAUUUGCACAAAUUAUCCAUUAUGUAAUUUAUAUUUUCAAAUUACAAUUUUUGACGAGCCUUGUGUUUAGUUAAGGUGUAUCAAUCUGUUGGCUAUUUGAGGAGCCUCGGUUACUUGAAUCUGAAGGGAUGUUAGAGGCUAAAAAUCCUUCCGCGGAGCAUUUGUGAUAUGAAGUCUCUUGAAACUUUGAAUAUUUCAGGGUGUUCAGGACUUGAGAAAUUACCAGAUUGCAUGGGUGAUAUGGAAUCCUUAACUAAGGUGCUAGUGGAUGGAAUUGAAAAUGAGCAAGUUCUCUUUUCAAUUGUAUAAUUAAAGCAUGUCAGAAAAAUAUCAUUGCGUGGAAACAGUUUCUAUCAGAACUCAUCGUCAUCUACAUUUUGGCAUCCACCAAUUUCUUCUUGAUUUCAGCAAGUGUUUUAUAUUGAAAACGUUUCUUGAACUUCCUGAUGAUGAUUUUUCUAAUCACGCAACUAACUGUGUUGAUUUUAGGGGUUUGUCCUCUCUAGAACAAUUGGAUCUAUCACAAAAUAAAUUCUCUAGCGUGCCUUCUGGGAUCGACUUCCUUCCCAAGCUAGGGACCUUGAGUGUUGUUGGAUGCGACAAUCUUGCAUCAAUCUCAAAUCCUCCCUCAAAUUUAUACUGUUUGAAUGCACUUUAUUGCAAAUCAUUGAAAAGAGUAAGAAUACAGUCAAAAGAAGAAAUACUUAUAGAUCUAAAUGAUUGUCCUUUAUUAGAAGAGAUUCAGGACAUCGAAGGUCGCAGUAAUAUUUUCUAGUGUAUUUAUGUUGAUUUCCCUAGGGAUUCAUCAAAUAAUUUCUAGAAGAGCCUUAUUGAGGUACUAUUUAUGUCUCUCUUGCGCAAAAAUAAACACACACAUUGAUUAAUUUUUAAAAUCUCAGCAUUACUUGAAAUCAAUAUAUAUUUAUACAGGCAUUGGGCGCCAGUUGUUACCGGUAUUUUAUUUACAACAUUCCUGGUGAGAUGCCAAAUUGGUUGAGUUAUAUCAUCUUUUCUUAUAUUUCCCUUGUGAUUUAGAGCCCGUUUGGAAACAUGGGCCAACCCGCGUUUCCAAAAAUUUUUAAAAAAAUAUUAUAAAAAUUAAAUUUAUUUUUUUUUAUUUUGAAUUGUUUUGAUGUACUGAUCUUAAAAAUAAUUUUACAAAAAAAAAAAACCCACCAUUUUUGCAUUUCGGCAAGAAAAUAAUCACAACCAUACUCCCAAAAGGCUCUUAAUAAUAGCGUCAACACAUGAGCAAUGAAGUAACUAUUUAUUUCCGAAGCUACAAAAACAUAAUCUCGAUUUAAUGUUUUUUUUUGUAAGAAUAAAUAUUUCAUUUAGUUAUUAUUAUUUUAUUUCUUUUAAUUUAAAACAUUAAAAAUUAUCUUUAAUUAUUUUAUUUUUCUUAUUUAAUUUUAAAAAUUAAAUAUCAUCUUUAAUAAUAUUUUUUUAUUAAAUAUUUAGAGUAUGUUAGAUUUUAUUAUUUAUUUAUUUUAUUUUAUGAUAAUAUUUUUAUUAUUAAAUUUAAAAAAUUAAAUGUUAUCUUUAAUAAUUAGAUCUAUCCAAUCUCACUUAAUUAAACCAUUAUUUUAUUGCUAGAAACUUAUGAGUCUUUUAAGCCAAAAGAAUUGUAGGAAGAGCUAAAAUUAGCAAGGAAUAUUUAGAGUCUAUUUGAUUUUAUUGUUUAUUCUUUGAUUUCAUGGUAAAAUUUUUAAAUUUUGAAAAACAAAAAUUGAAGACUUAUAUGUUUUGAACUUUUUUGUUAUAUAUAUAUAAAAAAAAAAACCAACAGUCACUAACAUAAUUUCGUAAAAUCACUUUAGUUUAUUUGAAAAAUAUAUUGAAAACUGAUUUUUUGUUUUUUUACAUUAAAAACAAAAAUUGAACAAUCUUUUUAUAUUUUACUUCAAAUAUGGUAUUUUAAAACAAAAAUGAAAACGACGUGAAAUUAACCAUUUUAAUUAUAAAGUAAGUUUCUUAAUUAAAAGUGAAAGUGAGUUAAUUUGUAAUAACAUGAAUUUUGUUGGUUUUUCAUGGAACGCAAUAGGUCAGCACUGGAUGCAAGACCCUUAAAAGAUAGAUCAUUGAUCAUUUACAGAGAGAUGCUUGAAGUUAAUUACUCUAGAUAAGUAUUGGGCUUUUCAGAUUUCUUUCUGACAACUUAUUCAUGAUGGAAUUUAUACUUUUUCUCAAGACAAAUUGAUAAAAACUACAAAUACAUAAACAAAAAAAAAAAGUAUUUAAUCGUUAUGUUUUAUAUUCAUCUAUGAUUUAAUUUUUUUCCAUCAAUUUCAUUUUCUUAUUUAUUUUAAUCCUAAAAUAACAAUAAAAAAAAAAUAAAAAAUCAUAUCAAGAAGUUCAAUUCAAAAUAAACAAGAUGCUUAAAAAAUCUUUUAGUAUCGCAUCUUUUUUUUGUAAAAAAAUAUAAAACAACAACGUAUUUAAUCAACUCGAGUUUUGUGGCCUAACCAUACCGUGACAAUCAUGUAAAAAUCAAAUUUUAAAAAAUCAAUCCAUAGAAAAAAAAUGCAUUGGAAAAACAAAUUUAAAAUAAAUUAAAUAAUUAAAAAAAGUUCAGUAAAAUAUAUUUUAUAAAAAAAAUAUUCAGACAAUAAUAACAAUUAUCAAGCUAAUAUUCAUACCAUUCCAAAUGAAGCCUUACAUGGUGAAACGAAGCUCAUUGGGCUAUAAAAAGUGCAAAUAACUUCUGAAAAGAUUAAAACGAUUCAAACUAAGCUCAGGAAGUACAAAGUAGACAGAAGAGUUAUGUUGACCUUAUACGACUGGAAUUGAAAUUUGUUGAUGGUGAUUAUGUAUUUUUGAGAAUUCCUCCUACCAUAUAUUGGGCCUUUUAAAAUUUUGAAGAGAAUUGGUGCUGUUGCUUAUGUAUUAGCUUUUCCACCCAGCUUUUUCAUCUAUACAUCCAGUGUUCCAUGUAUCUCCGUGCUCUAUCACAUAUAUUGGAGCCAUAAACAGUAGCAUUUCAAGAAGAUAUGUCAUGUGAGAAUCAACUGGAGAACCUGAGAAGAUGAUACGUAAUAAAUAUUGUUAUUUCUUCGUUCAAUCAAGCCCAUUUGUUAGUUAUAUAACCCAUUAUUGUUUUAUAUGUUGGCCCGUUAAUUAGGUAGCCCAUUUGUUAUUACAGAAAGAUAGAGGUAAGGACAUUGUUAGUCAUUUUCUUCCUUAAUUCUCUCUUUGUUGUAAUGAGUAAAUACCUUAAGAAAUUUGAAUAUUUGAAAGAUAAUGAGUAAAUUUCAAAGAAUCAUAUUGAAAUUAUGGAAAAUAUGUUUUGGUGUUGAUGAUGGAAGAAUUACAGUUUGGUCCUUGCCUUUGAGAAAUUAAGAUUUUGUCCCUAAAUUCUAAAACAAUUAUAGUUUAGACUCUGGUUGUAAAUAGCAAUUUUUAGAUAUCUUUUUGAUAAAUAUUUGAGAAAUAUUGAUUAUCUAUUAUCAAUUUUUAUUGUUAUCAUUUAAAUUUAGAAUUAAUUCUAUUAUGUAUUUAAAUGCGUUUAGCUAUUUUUUCUCCUUUAAUGUAGCUAUUUUUUCUCCUUUAAUGGGCUAGGAUUUGAAACAAAUGUGGCUAUGUUUUCUCCGUUUAAUAUAAAAAAAUAAUAUUCAUGGAUUAAUUUUCGUAUAAUUCAAGAAAGCAAGUCCUUAAAUCAAAUUUUAGAGUGACCAUCCUCAAUGUGUUAAAAGUAAAUGUUAAAGGAGAGAGAGAAAUAAAAAUAAAAAUAAAAAGCAAAAGCAAAAGGAAACAACGCCCAUCUUUCUUGGUCCUCUCUCUCUUUCCUUGCUUUUUUUAACGUGUGGACCUAGCAGUUGUUGCCACCAAAUUCCAGCUCAAUAUUUACCAGCUCUACACGCUUGAGAAAUUUCCAUGCUUUUCUUCCUCUACGUACUGUUACCUUUUACCUUUUAUAAUUAUGAUUAUUGCAUUGCUAAUAAUCUCCAAGAAAGAUGAUGAAUAUUUUUUAGUGAAUUCAAAAUAACAACAAAUAAGGUUUGUUGAGUCUUUUCUUGGAACCUUGUUAUGGGAUUAAAUAGGGAGAAUAAUAAAAUUAUGUGCGAAUUAUACAAAAUUUAUUAUUAAUCAUAAAUUUUUAUUCUUGAUCAUCAAUAUUGAAUAAUGGCUUAUUUUCUAGUAUAAACUGUGUUUGAAAUAUCAAGUUGAUGUUCUUAAGUGUUUUUUUGAUGAUUUUAAUAUACUGAUAUUAAAAAUAAAAAUAAAAAUAAAAAAACUAAUUUUGUUUUCAAAAAGAAAUUGACAAUCAAUUCCUUGCUUUACUCUCCAGCUAGCCUGAUACAUAUGAGUCUCAAGACAUAUGGCCAUUGAUAAAAAGGUGUGUUGAAGCAAAAUCUUUUUUUAAUUAUCUGUAGCGACCUCAAUAAUUUUGUCAAUAUGCACCUACCUUGAAAUUACCAAUACGUAAAUUCCAGCUCAAUAAUUGCCAAUACGAGCUUGAGAAAUUUCCUUGCUUUUUUUUUCCCCUGUACAUGUUUCCUUUUUAUCUUUUAUAAUUAUAAUUAUUGCAUUGCUAAUAAAUUACCAAUACGUGUGGACCCAGUUGUUGCGACCACCACGAAAUUACCACUCCAAAUUCCUUCUUCUUUCUCUGUAUUUUAUUAGAAAAACUGUCAUUGACUGAUUUAAUUGGGAAUUAUUUGCGAGAAAGCUUAAAGAAUUAGAGUCUUUUAAUUUAUAAAAUUAUAAUUUUAAAUUGUAAAAAAAAUUCAAUUAUUUUAAAAAAUAAAAUAUCAACUAUUUAUAUAAUAGCUAAAUAAAUCUAUUAAAAUAAAUUGAGAACAACUAGUAUAAUCAAGCAAAUAAUCCAAAAAUAAUAAGAAAAUAAAUAUAUUUCCUAGGUUUGAUUUGAGUAUAUUUUUUAUAUUAAUUGACUGACUUGCUAAGUCUUCGCUGAGCAUAAAUGAACUUUACUCUAAGAGUAAGAGUAUGUUUGAUAUUUCUUUACUUAUUAAUGAAAUGUUACUUUUAAUUUAUAGCGGAUUGAUUUAUUGAGCCAAUCUGAAUUUAAUAACUAUAGUCUAUAGUCAUACUGCUAAUACUUGCACCGAAGCUAAUAAUAUUUUUUUUCUAAAAUAAAGAUGAAUAUUUUUUGUUGGCAUUAAUAAUUUAAAAUGAGAAUUAAAGAGCAAAGGGUUUAAGCAAUAUUAAAAGAGAAGGUUUUGUGUAAGUAUUAGAUAAUUGAAAUCAUCACUAGUUCAUUUUCUUUUUUUAUUACCCCUUCCGCUUGGCAUGCCUGAAAAGGAGCCAAAAAAAUAACCAUAGGUUUUUCCGGUUUUGGACCUCAUAGGUUUGGACCGGUUCCGGUUUAGUUUGGAUCCCUUUUUUAAAAACAGUUUGGUUGUUUUCUAAAGGUAAAAACCAAACCGAACAAAAAAUGAUCACCUCUAGCAGCAACAACACAUUAACAUACCAGCAUUAUGGCAGAAGGAGGGACGACCUUAGAGCAAGUGCAGAGGUAUGUUAAAGGCUUGGGUAAGCUAUAGCCCAAGUCAAGACUUUAUCAAUAUUUUAUAGCUAGUUUUAUGUAAAAAAAAUUAUAAUUCUUGAUUGAGUUAUCAAAAAAAAAAAUUAAAAUUUACGUGGAGCCUUCUAAUAUAAUAUUUUAACUUGGGUUAAAAUUUCAUAAUAAUUUAAGAAAUUCAAAAAUUUGAUGAAAAAUCACAAUUUGACCAGUUUUAUGUUAUUGGACAUAAUUUUCAAUUCGACAAUUAGAUUGAACUGAAAUUUUACGAGAGAUCUUAAAAUAUAUUGAAUAAAAUAUGGUUAAAAUUUUAUGAUGAACGAAGCUUGGAAGUGCUAACAAAAAAAAACUGUCAAAUAAAAACAAAUCGACUCAUUAAGGGUAAAAUGAUUACUAUUAAAAAAUAAAACAAAUAAGCUCUUCCUUCAUUUUAUAUGUUGCCGACUAGACAGAAGCAGAAUAAGAAAAGAAAGAAAAGAAAAGGCAAGAGAGAAAGAAAUGAAAGUAGGGGUCAUCAUUUUCGGUUCGGUUUGGUUUUUAACAAAACAAGUAACCAAACUGAAUUUUUUUUUGAAAAAAAAACCAAAACCGGUUCGAACCGGCCGGUUUGGUUUUUUAAGGAAAAAAACUGGUUCAAACCAGUUUGACUCGGUUUUUUUUCGGUUUGGCUCGAUUUUUUCGGUUUUGACUCGAUUUUGCUUGGUUUUUUCGGUUUUGGCUCGGUUUUUUCCCGGUUUGACUCGGGUUUUUUCAGUUCGGUUCGGUUUCAGACGUAUAAAACCGAUAUCAAACCGGUCGGUUUUUUCAAAAUUUUAAUCGGUUUUUUUUCACGGUUCGGUUUUUUCAGUUUUUUUGCUCACCCCUAGAUAAAAGUAAGGGAAAAACAUUAAAAAAAAAAUAAGAAAAGUAAAAGAAUAACAUUGUAAACUUACAAAGUCCAACUUAUAAAACACUAAUUUAAGGAAGAAUUAAGUGAAGGAAGGAGGAAUUGAGAGAGAGAAAAAAUUUAAUUACUUUGUUUCCAGUUGACAUGAGAUUGUUAUUUUAUCUCGAUUGAGGAGUUGUUACAAUAUCGAUUAAGAUUCGAUUAUAGAUAAAUUAUAUUUCACAAAAUAUUGAAAGAUGUAACUUCAAUAAUAAAUUUAUUUUUACUUUCACUUCAAUUUUAUGUAUUUUUAAAUUUAUUUUUUAAUAUUUUGGGUAGUAUAUUUGAAUUAAAACUUUAUUAUUAGUUUCAAAUAUAUAUAUAUAUAUAUAUGAAUUAAUAAUUAAUCUUAAAUAAAAUUAUAUAUUUAUUUAAUAGCUCAAGAAAAAUUCAUUACUCCGUCCUUACAUUAGAGUACACUCCCACAUGCGUUGUGGCGGCGGUUUGCUCUGUUAUUGCGCUCAUUUCUCUUAUUGUUGAAAGAUCCCUUCGCCUCCUUGGAAAAAGAUAAUAUAACUGCAUUGACCGGAGAUUUCACUUAGAAUUUCUAGUAAAUUACAAAGGAAAUUUCCUAUGUUUUUUCAUGUACAUGUAUUGAAAAACUAUCACUGAUUGACUGACUUGCAUUGACUGAAUUUCUAAGUAUUUGCUGCUCGAAAUGAGCAAUCCUGUUUUUUCAAUGCUGCCAUUUAGCAAGUCCACAUGUCAUGAGUCUACACGGCAUCAAAUUUGCAAAAUCAUAUAGCCCAUUGAUAGAAAUCAUAUAGCCCAGUUGUUGCAAUACACCCUUGAGAAAUUCCAGCUCGAUCUUUACCAAUACACGCUUGAGAAAUUUCCUCUACGUACGUGUUACCUUUUACCUCUUUUAUAAUUAUUAUGAUUAUUGCAUUCCUAAUAAUUUGCAAGAAAGAUGAUGAACACUUUUUAGUCAAUUCAAAAUAACAAAAUAAGGUUUGUUGAGGCUUUUCUCGAUCAGGGAUUAAUUAACGAGAAUAAGAAAAUCCCCUUCAAAUUAUACAAAAUUUAUUAUUAGUCAUCUAUAUUUAUUAUUAAUCAUCUAUAUUGAAUAAUGGCUUAUUUUAUAGUAUAAACAAUGUUUGAAAUAAAAUUAGUAAAAGAUAUUAUACAUAAUUAAUGAUGGGAUCGUUUAUAAAAAUGACUAAAUUAAAGUUUUUCAAUUAUAUUUAAACAUAUUAUAAUUUUAAUAAAUGGGCUGUACAUCAUGUAAAUUAUAAAAGAAUAUUUAAAUUAUAUAUAUAUAUAUAUAUAUAUAUAUAUAUAUAACAAAUUAGAUGAUACUAACAAGAAAAUAUAUAGGAAUUAGUUUGAAUAAAGGAUACUAGUUAUAUAUCUAGAGAAGAAGUUCGAAGAAUAGAAUGAAGUCAAAUAUUCUUAAUAAAAAAGAAAAAAACACAUAAAGAAAUAAAAUAUGUUUUUAAUUAAUAAAUAUAAAAGAUGGAUGAAAGUAUUAGAGAAGAAGAAAGAGAUAUAGAAUCUGUUUGUGAAAUUUCUAAGAACUUAAUUACAAUUAUAUUAUAAUUUCUUCCCUAAAAUUAUUCAAAAUAUAGUAUUAGAAUUACAUAAUGCUAGGUUUUAAUAUAUAAUUAAAAAGUUUCCCAUGAACCAAAUAAUAAAAAUAUUGUAUAACUCUUUUGAAUGAAUUAUUAAAUUAGUCCAUUUAUAGGUUGACUCAGUAUUCCUGCCUUGAUUGCCAGGAAAUUUCACUAGAAAUUUCAAGUAAUUUACACAGGAAAUUUCCUGGUGAUAAACCUGGGAUAUGAUUUUCAACUUUCUUGGCAGCUGCAUCAAGGAAAAAACGUUUCAGAUGCGAAAAAUAAAGAUAAAAGUGGAAAAUAGAAGCGGAAAAAAAAUCCCAAAUAUCGACAAACAUCCCAAAUACAGAUAUCCUUAAAUUUAACCCAUUCUAUUUUACAUAAAUAAAUGAUAAGAUUAGGUGAAGAAUUAUUUGAUGUUUCCAUGCAACUUUGAAAGAAUAAUAAGGAAUAACACUUUUGAGAGAUUAAGAUUAAUUUUCAAUUCAGACAUAAUCAAUUGAGAGAUUAAUACAAACUAAAAGAUAAUAAAUAAAUAAAUAAAUAAAUAUCAGUCAAUUUGAUACAAAUACAAAAUGAUGCAAGUGGAUGCUAUCAGUGUAUUCUUGUAGCUUUCAAUUGUUUUCCCCCCUAAAUUAAGGUGUCGAAAAAUAGACCAAUGAAGCGAUCUUUACUAUCAGUGUGUCUCCCACGGCAAAAACAUUAAUGCAAUCAGUUAGUGCCUGCUGGAAAAUUACUCCAAGAAACUUCAUGGAACCACCAAAAUAAGGAAGAAAACAAAAACGUUAAUAAUGGUGAAAAUAACUUGACAUUAUCUGUCGAGAUGAUUUAAGUUUUUUUUUUUAAAUAAUUAUUUUACAAAUAUUAUAAAUUAAUGUGUUAUGGCGUCACACGUCAAUUUAAGAGAUUGUUUUUUUUAAACGUACUAACAAUCCAACACAAAGCCAUCUAAAAUAUUUACAAAUAGUUAUAGCAUUUAACUAUUUAUGUAGGGUAUUUUUAAGAAAUAUUUUUUAUUUAAAAAUAUUUUAAAAUAAUUCAUUUCCGCUUGCAUGUCAUGCUCCUCCAUUGUUUUUGCAGCCUGUCCCGUUCCAGUAUCUGCACACCACGCACUGCCGAUGUUUCCGGUGUUUUUUCCGCGUUCCUCCGUGAAUAAAAAAAUGUUAUUUUUUCUCGUUUAAUUAUUUAAAUAUUUAUUUUGAAGUGUUUUUUUUUUGGAUUGCACGAUGUAAUUUAUGUAUUUGCACAAUAGUUGUGUGAUUUACAUAAAUUUUAUUUAUAUUGAAUGAUAUUUUUCCAUCCUACAUUAACCAUAAUUCUAUAGGUAGAAUCACCUUCGAAGUGACUAAAUCUGCUUUAAUAUAUUUGAGAUUCACUCAAUGCCACUCUCAUCGGUAUUCUAAAAGCGAAGAGAAGAGUAGAAGCAAUGUGAUAGCUAUACAGGUGAGACUUAAUAAUUUACAGGUGAUAAUUAUUUUUUAAAAUAUUUUUUUUAUUUGAAAAUAUAUUAAUUUAAUGUAAAAUAAUAAAUAAAAUUAAUUAUUUUUAAUUAUUUUUUAAAAUGUAAAAACAAAGAGGAUAUAAUCAACCGUAUGUUACCUUGUAAACCGUAUGUUAGAGUCCCUCAAAUAUUCUGGCUACAGCAACCACUAUAUUGUAUGCCAAGCAGUAUUUUGUCCUUGAACCCUUGGCCCUCUAAAUUACCCAAAAAGGACAAUAAUUGAGCACAAGCGGUACAGGUCAGGCUUAAACUCAGCUUGCUAGAGCCAGUUCUCAAUUUUAGGCACCAGUUCUCAAUCGAAUUUUAGCAAAAUCAAGGAUCCAAGAAUUGGCCUCUGUAACAUGGUUUGUAUUCUGAGCCAAUCUGGGCUAGGAUUUGAAACAAAUGUAGCUCUUUUUUUCUCCUUUUAUUGUAAAAAAAUAAUAUUCAUGGAUUAAUUUUCGUGUAAUUUAAGAAAGUAAGUCCUUUAAUCAAAUUUUAGAGUGAUCAUCCUCAAUGUGUUAAAAGUAAAUGUUAAUUACCACUAAGAAGGAACGCAAAAAGACAUUCCUUUUCUUGUCAUAAAGUUUUGAAGAGCUAUCAAAACGUACUAUCGUGUAUUAUUGUCAUAAAAAUUUUCCAACUUUCAAUAUAGAGAGAGAAAUAAAAAUAAAAAGCAAAAGGGAACAACCAUUUUGAUAUUCAAUCAGUAUGAGUGAGAAAGAAAGGAAGCAUCUUUCUUGUGUGCUUUCCCUUCUUUACAUGGCUUACCCGAUGAAAAAAGCAAACACCCCAUUUUGAUUUUCAAUCAGUAUGAUUGAGAAAGAACGACAGGGCAAGGUUUGUUGAGGCUUUUCUUGGAACCUGGCUCCUUGCUUUUUUUAACGCGCGGACCAGUUGUUGCCACCAAAUUCUUUCCUCAAUAUUUACCAGCACUACACUCUUGAGAAAUUUCCAUAGAGCCUUAUAAUAUAAUAUUUUAACUUGGGUUAAAAUUUCAGAGAAAUUCAUAAAUUUGAUGAAAAUUAUAAUUUGACCAGCUUUAUAUUAUUGGGCAUAAUUUUUAAUCCGGCCAUCAGAUUGAGCUCAAAUUUUACGAGAGAUCUUAAAAUAUAUUGAAUAAAGUAUGGUUAAAAUUUUAUGAUGAACAGAGCUUGGUAGUACUAAAAAAAAAAAAAACCGUCAAAUAAAAGCAAAUCGACUUAUUAAGGAUAAAAUGGUUUUUUGCCAUUAAAAAAUAAAACAAAUAAGCUCUUUCUUCAUUUUAUAUGUUGCCGACUGGGUAGAAGCAGAAUAGGAAAAGAAAGAAAAGAAAAAGUGAGAGAGAAAAAGAUAAAAGUAAGGGAAAAACAUUAAAAAAAAUCCAAAUAAAAAAAAUAAGAAAAGUGAAGGAAUAACCUUGUAAACUUACAAUGACCAACUUAUAAAAUACUAAUUUAAAGAAGAAUCAAUUGAAGGAAAGAGGAAUUGAGAGAGGGAAAAAAUUUUAUUACUUUGUUUUCCAGUUGACAUGAGAUUGUUAUUUUAUCCCGGUUGAGGGGUUGUUACAAUAUCAAUUCAGAUUCGAUUAUAGAUAAAUUAUAUUCCACAAAACAUUGAAUGAUGUAACUUCAAUAGUGAGUUUAUUUUUACUUUCACUUCAAUUUUAUGUAUUUUUAAAUUUAUUUUUUAAUAUUUUGGAUAAUAUAUUUGAAUUAAAAUUUUAUUGUUAGUUUCAAAAGUUUAUGUACAUAAAUUAAUAAUUAAUUUUUUUAAAAAAUUAUAUAUUUAUUUAAUAACAACAGGAAAAAUUGUCUCGCAUAAAUUCCCACAUGCGUUGUGGCAGCGGUUUGCUCUGUUAUUGUUCUCAUUUCUCUUAUUGUUGAAAAAUCCCUUCACCUCCUUGGAAAUGGCAUUCCAAGUGUGCAGUAUUUAUUGUCAUAAAGUUUUUCAAACAUCCAAUAUAGAGAGAGAAAUGAAAAUAAAAAGAGCAAAAGGAAACAACCCCCACCCCAUCUUUCUUGUUCCCUUUCCCUUCUUUACAUGGCUUACUCAAUGAAAAAGCAAGCACUAAUGCACCUUCUCCACAAACUACCCCCAAUUUCGCCGCUAUAUAAAUAUAUUAUGGAAAACAAGAUAAAAAGAAAUCUUUUGGUACAUCUAUAUAUAUAUAUAUAUAUAUAUAUAUAUAUAUAUAUAUAUAUAUACAUGGUAUCAGAAUAUCUGUGAAGUAUUGCUGGGAAGUCAUAAUUUUUGACACGCCUAAUCACAGUCUUUUUUUGGAAAUUUCCAUCAUUUGAUCUUGACAGCAUCAGAUUAGACAAUUGCAUGGAAAUGGUCUUCUUAGUUUGCCGUGUGGAAAAUCAUGUCAUUUACGGGGCUGCUGGAGAGAUUUUCUAUUGACCGGUAAUUUCGCUCGAAAAUUUCUAGUAAUUUAUAAAGGAAAUUUCUACUGUAUAUGAAUUGAAAAACUAUUAUUGACUGACUUCUUAAAAAGUAUUCGCAAGAAAGCUAAAGAAUUAAAGUUUUUUAAUUUUUAAAAUUAUAAUUUAAAAUUGUAAGAAAAAAAUCAAUUGUUUUAAAAUUGUUUUCAAAAAUAAAACAUCAACUAUUUAUAUAAUAGCUAAAUCUAUUAAGAUAAAUCCAAAAUAACUAGUAAAAUCAAUGACUUGCAUUAUCAAGCUUGACGAAUUUUAAGCUUAAUCUAUUGUAUUAUCUUUGAUGAUCACUUCACAUGUAUCUCUUGCUUGUAUUUGCAAGAGAGAAGAUACCUUAUGCAAUUGCUCCAUUGCUAAUUGAUUGUUCCUUCUGCUCUCUCAUUAUUAAGCUUAAACUGUUGUAUCAUCUUAUGUUCCACAUUAAGGAUAUAUAAUUAAUUAAUCGGACCGACCAUUAUGUUAAGGAUAAGAGAUUGUGGGCGCCUCUUUUUUCUUGUUGACAACUCAUGAUUUAUUUAUAGCAGUUAAGGAUAUAAUUAAUCGGACCCACCAUUAUGUUCCACGUUAAAGAUAUAAUCCAAUGUUUCAUAAUGAUCAUCUUGAAUUUGGUUUUUUCUGCAUUAAUGUAUAACAGGUAAAAUUAAAUGAUUAUUGGAUGAAUUUGCAUAAAUAUUAAGUCCAAUAACAUAAUUAAAUUUUUAAUAAAUCAAUUUGAUUUAAUCAUGGAUCAAAUUAAUUUUUAAUUAUAUUUAAAUUAAUUUUAAUCCAAUUAAAGGAUUUAAUUAAAUGCAAGGAUUUAAUUAUACUUUAAAAGGGUUAAAUUAAUUUUAUUAGAGAUUUAAUUCAUGAAAAAUUAAGUUUGAAAACUCAAUUUAAGUUUAAUUAAAAAGAUUAAUAUUUUAAAAAAUCAAAAUUAAUUUUUAUCAAAUUAAUUAAUUAAAAUCAGGAUGCAAAAAUAUCACAACACAAUUGAAGUUUAGCUUUUAUCAUUUCAAAAGUUCCAGCCUCAUCUUCACUACUUGUAAAAUUGGGGCAGAUUAUGGACUUAACCGAGCAAUUACCGCUCGAAAUUCCUCGUGAAGGAAAUUUCCUUGUUCUUUCUCCGUAUAUUUUUUUCAUAUUAAUUAUAUUUUUCAUAAUUAUUUGCUCUGAAGAUUACCAAAUACAAAAAAAAAAAAAAUUGUUUCUAAAAUAAUAGGAUAUGAAUAAUUAACUAUAGAAACUAAAGAGUGGAUCGGUUAUCUUUAACGUUUGCAAAUAAUUAAAGAGAUAUAAAUUUUGUGAUGAGUUAUGAUUAACGCAGAAGCAAAUAAAAGAGGAACAGAAAUUAUAAGCCAAUAUUGUUUUCGGUUUCAACUUUAAAUCAAACCUAUAAAACCUAACCAUUACAGCUUCUCUCUCCAUCUUCUUCGUCUGCUUUUGUCAUGGCAUCAACUCAUCGAGUACAGGUAGAGAUACUUGAGGUCUAUCAAGUCAUCCUGUCCUUGAACUCACUUGACCCAGCCAUCGAGUUAUUUUUUCCGCUCAUCUUUUUUCCUACAAACUCACCAAGACAGCAGCGGAUUAUUUUAACUCAGUGAUCCUUCCAGGAAGGCCAGGCCGCAUUGAUUGUGUUAAAAAAAAAAAAUCUAAUUCAGCUUAGUAUCAACUGCAUUAUAAUUAUUUAGGAGGAUAGUUGAACCAUAUUUUUAAAAAAAAUUAAUUUCUUUUUUAUAAUUAUACUCCAACAGCAACUACCUCGAAAUUACCACUCCAAAUUCCAGCUCAAUAUCGAUCAACAUGUGGCUAAAAUUGAUAAAAGACACAUAAUGAUGGUAUUGUAUAUUUUGAACUAAAUUGAGGUUUUUUAAUUAUUACUUCAAAAUAUAUCAUGGUUUUAAUAGUUGGACGGUAUAUUAUAUAAAUUAUUAAAAAAUAUUUAUUUUUAUUAUAUAUGUAGUAAUAAUAAAUUAGAUGAUAAUAACAAAAGAAUAGGAAUUAGUUUGAAUAAACAGUACCAGUUCCUAUUAUGAUAUGUAUAGAGAAGAAGUUGGAAGUAUAAAAUGAAGUCAAAUAUUCUUAAUAAAAAAAACACAGAAAUAAUUAAAAUAUGUUUUUAAUAAAUAUAAAAGAUGGAUGAAAAUAUUAGAGAACAUGAAAGAGAUAUAUAAUCUCUUUGUAAGAUUUCUAAGAACUUAAUUACAAUUACAUUAUAAUUUCUUCCUUAAAUUAUUCAAAAUAUAUAUUAUUCUAGGUUUUAAUGUAAUUAAAAAGGAAGUAUUUGCAGGAAAGCUAAAGAAUUAAAUUUUUUAAUUUUUAAAAUUAUAAUUAAAAUUGUAAGAAAAUAAUCAAUUGUUUUUAAAAAUAAAACAUCAACUAUUUAUAUAAUAGCUAAAUCUAUUAAGAUAAAUCGAAAAUAACUAGUAAAAUCAAUGACUUGUAUUGACGAGUGUGUCUAUAUAUACAUAUAGGAAUUGCUGAUUCGAUUUGAAUAUGUUAUUUGAUUAGUCUAAUUCAUGAUUUGCAUUGACUCAAAAUUACCACUAAAAAUUCCUAGUUUCGUGGUGCUUUCUCGGCCUGCAAAUGAAUAUAAAGCAUAUCCUUUUAUCCUAUAUAAAGAAUACAAUUAACCUUUUUAUCUUUUAUAAUUACAAUUAUUGCAUUGCUAAUAAUUUGCAUGAAAGAAUAUUCUUUCUCUGAAAAGGGCUUGAGAAAACCCUAAGCAUAUUAUAUAAUCUCUUAUAGGAAUCUCUUUAUUAAAUCAUCAAAAUAUCAAAGUCUUUUUCCAAAGACUAUGAGUACAGUUUAUAUAUAGAAACAACCAAAUAUAAAAAUUAUUAUUUUUUAAAUAGAAAAACCAGAGAGCUUGAUAAUAUUUAAUAAAAAAAAUAAAAUAGAAAAAUUAUUCCUUUUUAAGUAGAAAAAAAUUAUAAAGAUUUUAAUAAUACUAAAUAAGAAAAAUUAAAAUUUCUAAACUAAAUUAAAAAAAAAAAGUUUUGGCUACAUUUACUUAGUCCCUGUUAUUUGUAAAGCUUAUAACUUAAUUCAAAUCAAUAAAAGUUUAGCAGUUUGAUACAAAAGCUCAUGGCCAAGUUAGAAAUAUUUGUUUUGGAUGUAAUAAAUAUUCAUAUUGGGACAUAAUAUUUAUCUUUCAAAUCCAUAAUUUAAUUGAUCAUAUAAAUAAAUUUUUUUAAAAAAAAAAAGCAAAAAGGAAACAUCUUUCUUGUUCCCUUUCCCUUCUUUACACGGCCUAGUACUCAAUGAAAAAGCAAACACCUCAUUUGAUUUUCAAUCAGUAUGAGAGUGAAAAUGAGAGAGAGGUACAAGUUUGUUUCUAUCUAAGAAAGCAAGAAGCUCCCACUAAUGCAUGUUCUCCACAAACUACCCCCAAUUUCACCAUUACAGCUCAAGUAGCUUUGAGUCAUUGAUUCCAACAAAUAGGAAUUGAAUUCAAAGGAAUAAAUCAUUAAAUGCGGAGUUGGUGCUCUCGUGUUUGUGGUGCUGAUAAAUGUAAGAACAGACAAAGAGAUGAAAUAGGAAAAAUCCAUGUAUCUAUCCUUUAUCCUGCUGUUAAUUUUUUAAAGACGCGUAUCAGGUGUUUGAUAAAAUUCCUCAACUUAAAAAAAAAAAAAAAAAAAAAAAAAACCAUGUUUAGAAUGCUUGAGUCCUUUACGAGUGGAAAGUGGGAACUAUCCACUUUCCCAUUCUCCACUGACCGUGAAAGAGGGAACUCCUGUGAGAGCUUUAUGCCACUUUCUAUCUUAGAUGUAAUGGCUUCGGCAAAAAGAAACAAAUAAAAGUUAGUGUUCGCACUGCUUUAGCCCAAGUGUCACGGGGUUAAAUUUUUCGCCUCGCAAAUAAACUCGUGCGGCAGCCUAGUCCCGCUAGACUCAGCCUUGCCUUACCCUUUCACUCGUGUUUUCCUACGACUAUGUGUUUCGCUCACUCAAGGAGGUUCUCACAAUCGUCUCGUCGUAGACAAUGCACAAACACAAGCAAGCAUAAGCAAUCACACCGAACUUUUACAAGAAUCCCUCUCAACCUUUAUUUAUCUCAUCAACAAAGGAAAUACACAAAAAUGGUGUGUGCUAUGCACAAAUUCGCAUGCUACACAGCAGAGGCUUGGCAGCCUAUUUAUAGCCAAAUGUGAGCUUCCAUUCUCACCUAGCAUCCCCUAAUUUCGGGGCAUAGUGGAGCACUAUCUCACCUAACAUGGACUAGUGGAGCACUACCUUCCCCCAUGAUCCCCAUUUUCCAUGGACUAAUGGAGUAUUAUCCCAACCAUUAUCUUUGGUUGGUGAACCACUUUCUCCACCAAUAUUCGGUGGGUUGGUGAACCACUUUCUCCACCAAUAUUCAGCCCCUCCACCCAUAUUCUGCCAGCCCUCAUGGCAGUCCCAUUUGUCUUCCUUUCUAUGUCAGCUGCUGACUUAGAAAGUCCAUCAUCUAAGCUCCACCUCCAUGCCAAGUCGCCAGCUCAAAGACUUGCACAGACCCUUGCACGCUGCCUGCCGAAUUCAUUUCUGCCGUAGUCCAUCGUUGCCGAAUUCUAGGCAAUGUGCUCUCGUUGGCGCGCCCCGCGCCUAGACCUCUAACAAACCACCCCCACUAGAAGAGUCUGACGUCCUCGUCGGAAUAGACUUGAGGUAGUCUUGAACUUGAUCCUCAAAUUGCCACAAGUCAAUAUCUUUCUCCCACGAAACCUCCUCAUUUUCCCUCCAUUUUACCAAGAAUUCUGUCCGCCGAUUCUUUCUAUGUUGGCCAAGUCGACGAUGAUCCAUGAUUUUGACAAUCCCAUCAUCGAAUUGCUUGUGAAUGGUAGGAGGAGCUCGGUGUGACUUGCUUCUCUUUGGAUCUUCGUUGUCUUCAUAAAAAGGCCGUAAGUAACUUACGUGAAAGGUAGGAUGAAGUUUCAACCGUUCGGGCAGCUUCAACCUAUAGGCCACAGCGCCUACCUUUUCGAUGACCUCAAAAGGUCCAUCGUACCUUGGCACCAACCCUCGGUGCUUCGUUGUUCCCACGAUUUUCUUCCAAAUCUGCGGAGUUAACUUGAGCAACACCUUGUCACCCACACUGAAUUCCAGCCAUGUCCGCUUUUGGUUGGCGUAUUUGAGCAUUCUUUUCCUUGCCUUACGCAAGCUAUCUUGUGCUUGCUCAAAUAGCUCCUGCCGCUCCAUCGCAAACCUGUAUGCUGUUGGACUCUUCCCACCCGUUAUCUGCACUGCAAUCUCCGCAGGAGUUUGGGGUUGAGCUCCCAACACUAGCUCAAACGGACUUGCUUCCGUUGCCGAGGAUUUUUGAAGAUUGUAGCAAAACUGCGCACUAUCAAGCAACUCCAACCAGUUUCGUUGCAUCGCUGUCACGUAGUGUCUCAAAUAUUCCUCAAGCAAAACAUUUAUCCUUUCCGUCUGCCCAUCAGUUUGCGGAUGGUUGGCAGUUGAAAACUUCAGCCUUGUUCCCAUCAUGUUGAACAAUGCUGUCCAGAAUCGGCCUGUGAAUCGCACAUCGCGAUCACUCACAAUGUCUGAAGGCACUCCAAAGUACUUCACCACGUUUCGGUAGAAUAAUUCAGCAGCCACUUCGGCUGUACACACCGUCGGGGCAGCAACAAACACCGCAUACUUGGUGAAUCUGUCCACAACAACCAUGAUCAUGUUCAUGCCAUCCACCUUUGGAAAACCAACAAUAAAAUCCAUUGAAACUGACACCCAAGGCUUUUCUGGAAUCGGCAGCGGCUGUAACAAGCCUGCCUCUUGCUGCCGCAAAGUCUUGUCUUGUUGACACACUAGACAAGUCCUGACGUAGAGUUCUACAUCAUCUUCCAUCUUCGACCAAUAAUAAGUCUGCGACAAGAGAGCAACCAUCCUUUCCCGUCCCGGAUGUCCAGCCCACUGCGGAUCAUGAGUUUCCGUCAUUAAGUACUUUCGCAGCUCUCCCUUUGGCACGAAGAUUCGACCCCCCUUUGCAUAGAGUAAGUCCUGCUCCAACCAAUACCUCCGUAUUGUCCCUUCUCGUACAAGCUCAACCAUUUUCUUGUACGCUGCAUCCUCCGUAGCAGCUUGGCGAAGUCGAUCCAGCAUAUCUGACUCCACCUGAAAAAUAGCAAGAAUAGUAGCUAUUACCUCGCGUCUGCUGAGUGCAUCCGCAACUUGAUUGUGGCUCCCUAGUUUGUGCUCCCAUACGAAGUCAUAUUCGGCCAAGAAUUCCUGCCACCGAGCUUGUCGUUGCGACAAUUUCUUUUGCGUCUUGAAAAAUGUAUUGGCAACAUUGUCGGUCUUGACAAUAAAUUUUGGCCCCAGCAGAUAUACUCUCCAUAUGCCAAGGCAGUGCACUACUGCCGUCAUUUCCUUCUCAUGGGUCGAGUAAUUCCGCUCCGCAUCACUUAGCUUCCGACUCUCGAAAGCAAUCGGAUGUCCCUCUUGUACAAGCACUCCACCAAUAGCCCUAUCCGAAGCAUCAGUAUGCACUUCGAAUGGCUUCUCAAAAUCAGGCAGCCCCAAGACUGGAGCUGACGCUACUGCUGUCUUCAGCUUCUCAAAAGCUUGUUGGCAGUCAACUGUCCAUUCCCAACUCCGAUCUUUCUUGAGAAGAUCUAAGAGAGGAGUUGUCUUCUUGCUAUACCCCUCGAUGAACCGUCUGUAGUAGUUUGCAAGCCCCAAAAAGGAUCUCAAUUCCGGGACUGAUUUUGGUGAUGUCUGUCAUAACCCAAUUUUUGAUCAUUUUAUUAUUAUUAUUAUUAUUAUUAUUUUAUUUAUUGAAAAGGAUAAAAAAAAUUGAUAAAAAAAAUAAUAAUAAUGAUGAUGAGAAAACAAGUAAAAUGAAGAAUGAAUUAAUUUUUGGGUUAAGGGCAAUAUGAAUGGAAGUUUUGGGGUUUAAUUAAACUUUUGAAUUAAUCUAAUUAAGUUUGGAAUUAAUUUGUUUAAUUAAGAGUUUAAUUGGAGAAUUGAUAAAAUUUUGAGACUUAAUUAAGCUUGAAAUUAAUUUAAUUCAUCCAAUCAAGGAUUUAAUUGGAGAAUUAAUAAGUUUUGAGACUUAAUUAAGCUUGGAAUUAAUUUAAUUAAUCCAAUUAAGGGUUUAAUUGGAUAAUUGAUAAGUUUUAAGACUUAAUUGGACUUGGAUUUAAUUAAAUUAAUGAAAUCAGGGACUUAAUUGAAGAAAUAUCAAAGUUUGGGGUUAAUUGGGGUUGAAAUUGCAACAGAUUAGAGUCCAAGGACUAUCUUGAAACAGGCGCGGGAAUAUAGGGGCAAUUACAGUUUAAACCAGGGGCUUAAUUACAAAAGUUUCGAAACUUCACGGGUCAAAAUGAAAUAGCCGCCUCAUAUCCCAAAACGGCGUCGUUUUAAAGAACGUUGUUCAUCUUCUUCUUCUUCAAACAGAGACCGUUUCCAGCAGUAAUGAUCAGCGACCUCAGUUAUGGACGUUUUAAUGCUUUCGUCCCUCUGCAUGCCAUCCGUUACCACUGAUCGGACUCUAUAAAAAGAGGAACAAUGAAGAAAUGGCGGCGGAGAGAUACCCAAGGGUUGAAUCACAGAACCGAAAGAGAGAGAGAAGCUAAAACCCAGACUCGAAAUAGAACCAGGGGGAUCAUAGAAACGAAAAAAACACAAACGAAGUAGACACCAAGGGGGACUGAAACAAGAAAAGACAGUGGGCAGAGCAGGAACCGAAACACCAAAACUGGGGAAAGAAUCGGCAGAUCACAGAGCCGAACACAGACUGAAACCAAACCCAAAUUCGAAAGGAUAAGCCAGCACCGUCCUUUUUUCUUCAUCACAAGGACUGAGAAAGUAAGGAAAAAAAAAAGAAUAGCAGACGAACAGAAGAGGAAGUAGAGGAGAGAGUGCCCGUUCGACCAUCAACGCCAUGUCUUCAUCGCCAUCGGCUUUGUCUCCAACAGUUACGGGUCAGUUGCAUCAUUUCCCCUGCUUACAAUUUUAAUUCCCCCAACACUGUGCAUUUGAAAUUUAAUUAACACUGACUGUAGCCAGCGUGCGUGAACAAUUCACGCACGCUGGCGCCUGGUCACUGGCUUGGGCCAGUGACCAGGCUGGGUUGGGCUGGGUCUAGCCCAGCCCAUGUGGGCUGAGCUGGGCCCAGCCCGAAAAAAAAUAAAAAAAUAAAAAAAAUAAAAAGCAGAAAAAUAAAAAAUAAAAAAAAUAAAAAUAAAAAUAAAAAAUGUGUAUGCAUGAAUAAAAAUAAUGUAAAUUUAUUGGUUUAUUCACUGACGCCAGAGUCAGGAAUAAAAAUGUGCAUGCGUAAAAAUAAACUUAUUUUUAUUUAUUUAUUCACUGGCAUUAGAGUAGGAAAUAAAAAAUAUAUUGAUCUAAUUUUUGUCGUAGCUACGAAUUUUUACCAACGCCAGAGUUGGAAUUAUUCGAGCUCGAAUAUUCACUGGCGUCAGAGUCAGAAAUAUUAUAAACAAAUCAUCACAGCAUAAAUUAAUAAAUAUUUAGCAAUUUAAGACAAAACCAACAAUGCAGUCUGCCUUAGGCAGAACGUUUAAGGAGUGAUAAUAUCUUCCCUUUUACAUAACCAAUCCCGAAUCAUAGAAUCUCUAUUGACCAGUUAGGGUUCCUAGUGACCAUAAUACUAGGUGGCGACUCCUCAAACAAGACAUUUUUCCCUAAAAGAAUCGGAUGUCAGAAAUCUGUUCUUUUUCCAUAAUUCAAGUGAAUCAUUAUUUUUUGUGGGCCGCCGUGAUGUCGGGUGCGACAAUGUCCAUUCGACGAUGGCUUGGAUCUUUCGUGGAUCCAUCUUCACCUGUCCUUCUCCAAUUAUUUUUCCCUCUUUACAUACAGUUCAUGUUCUCUCAAUCUACUUAAGACUUUAGAAAGAUGAGUUACAUGUUCUUCGAUUCCUCUACUAUAGAUUACAAUGUCAUCUAAGUAGACUGCAACAAAAUUAUCUAAGAAAUCAUAUAACACAUCAUUCAUUAAAUUACAAAACGUUGCUGGAGCAUUUGUUAAGCCAAAUGGCAUAACUAGAAACUCGUAUGAACCAUACCUCGUCACACAAGUCAUCUUAUGCUCAUCUCCGUCAGCAACUCUCACUUGCCAAUACCCCGAUCGCAAGUCCAGCUUCGUAAAGACAGAAGCGCCACAUAAUCUGUCCAUCAAAUCCUGAAUCAAAGGAACAUGAUAUUUGUUUUUGAUGGUUACCUUGUUGAGUGCCCGGUAGUCCACACACAUGCGAAGGCUCCCAUCCGCCUUCUUCUGAAACAACACCGGAGCACCAUACGGAGCCUUGGAAGGUCGAACGAAUCCCGACUCAAUCAAUUCUUCCAAUUGCUUCCUCAAUUCUGCCAAUUCUCUUGGCGACAUUCGGUAAGGAGCUUGAGAUGGUGGCUUUGCCCCCGGCACCAGCUCAAUUCGAUGAUCAACAGCCCUCUUAGGCGGGAGUUUCUUUGGUAGCUGAGGUGGCAUAACAUCUUCGAAUUGAUGCAGCACGCUAGCAAUCUCGUUCGGCACCUCCCCACAAUAAUCAGUUCUCUCCUCCACUAUUGUUGCUAGAAACACAUCCCCUCCUUUCCGCAAUGCUUUAUCGAUUGCAAUGGCCGAUAUUAAGCUCUUCUUUCCUUUCGCAACAUUCGCAACUGCGACGUUGCAGCAGGGAACAAAACAUGGGCAUCCCUCACUCGCAAUCAUAAUCCCAUUGAGAUACGGCAUUAAAACAAUCUUGGCUUUCCGUAGAAAAUCAAGGCAAAGGAUAAUAUCAUAAUCAUCAAGAGUUAUGACAAGCACAUCAUGCUUACCUCUCCACCGAUCCAGCACUAUCAGCACAUCAUAAGACAUCCCAGCAAUUUUCUGCGCCUUUGAGUUCACUGCCUUCAUGGAUGUCUGGCUAUCACUCAGCCGCAAGCCGAGUUCCUUCACCAGCCGAUCUGCCACAAAUGUGUGGGUUGCGCCUGAAUCCAGCAUAGCAUUUAUAUUAUUGCCGUUUAUCUCAAUCUUUACAUACAUGAGGCUGUCCGUUGCCCCUGGCUUCCCUUUUCGUAAGGUCUCAAUCCUUGCCAAGUCUUUCUCAACAUGGCAGUUUUCGGCAGCCGCAUCCUCUGAUUCUGCUACCAAGCAAUUUAACACACACAUGGGAUUGACGUGCGUAAGCAUCCCCUCUUCAUCAUCGCUAUUCCCAGCCCGAAUAGCAUUCAGCUUCUCCCUCUUUGGGCAUUCCCUCGCAAAGUGAGGACCAUCACAAAUGAAGCAUGUAAGGUUCGGUUUAGUACCAUUACCUGGUGUGCUCGUAAAUUUUGACUUGCCUUUCUCCGCGGCAGUAGCCUUUCCUGCACCCCCACCGAACUUCUUCUUUGGCCUUUCCUCCUUGCUCUUUCCCUUUGACUUGAAGGAGGCUGAUUUAUAGCUCUCUCUCGUAGGAGCUUUAUAAUCUACCAAAUUGUCCGCGGCAGCAAUAGCAGAAGACAGAUCCUUCACAUUCUGUCGUCGUAGCUCUGCUUGCGCCCAAGGUUGCAAUCCGGACAUAAAAUUGAACAACCUGUCCUCCUCGGACAUGUUCUCGAUGUCGAGAAUUAAAGAACUGAAAGACUUAACAUACUCACGAACUGACCUGUCCUGUUUGAGUCUUUUCAAUUCGUCUCAUGCAAUCCACGAAGUGUUGUUUGGGAGGAACUGCUCCUUUAGCUCCUUCUUGAGACGAUCCCAUGUCUCAAUCUUUGGACGUCCCGCACUUAGAUCAUCUUUGGUUCUCGUCCGCCACCAAAGCUUUGCGUCACCCGUGAGAUACAUCACGGUGAGAUCAACUUGUUCCGCUGCGCCAAUCCUCGCAACACUGAAGUAUUGCUCCAUGUCCCAUAAGAAAUUUUCCAGCUCUUUGGAACUUCUUGCCCCACCAAAGCACUUUGGUUCGGGCAACUUAGGCUUAGAAGAACUUACCCCAAGAGGAGUGUUUGUGACUGCCCUCUUCAGAACAGCAAUCAUCUCUUCGGCAGCAGCCAAUCGUUCACUCGAUUCUGCCGCAAGCGAGAUGUACAAGCUCUCAGCGCUUUCAGCGCUAUCCAUCGCUUCCUUCAAGCGAUCCAAGACAGUGCGUUCUUCCUCUUCGUCAUCUGGCCCUAUCAAAGUCUCCAGACGCGUCAACCGUUCCCGAAUGGCUUCCAUGGCUUCGGGCUGCACGUUGUUGAGUCAACCGUGCUCUGAUACCAAUUGUCACGGGGUUAAAUUUUUCGCCUCGCAAAUAAACCCGUGCGGCAGCCUAGUCCCGCUAGACUCAGCCUUGCUUUACCCUUUCACUUGUGUUUUCCUACGACUAUGUGUUUCGCUCACUCAAGGAGGUUCUCACAAUCGUCUCGUCGUAGACAAUGCACAAACACAAGCAAGCAUAAGCAAUCACACCGAACUUUUACAAGAAUCCCUCUCAACCUUUAUUUAUCUCAUCAACAAAGGAAAUACACAAAAAUAGUGUGUUCUAUGCACAAAUUCGCAUGCUACACAGCAGAGGCUUGGCAGCCUAUUUAUAGCCAAAUGUGAGCUUCCAUUCUCACCUAGCAUCCCCUAAUUUCGGGGCAUAGUGGAGCACUAUCUCACCUAACAUGGACUAGUGGAGCACUACCUUCCCCCCAUGAUCCCCAUUUUCCAUGGACUAAUGGAGUAUUAUCCCCACCAUUAUCUUUGGUUGGUGAACCACUUUCUCCACCAAUAUUCGGUGGGUUGGUGAACCACUUUCUCCACCAAUAUUCGGCCCCUCCACCCAUGUUCUGCCUGCCCUCAUGGCAGUCCCAUUUGUCUGCCUUGCUAUGUCAACUGCUGACUUAGAAAGUCCAUCAUCUAAGCCCCACGUCCAUGCCAAGUCGCCAGCUCAAAGACUUGCACAGACCCUUGCACGCUGCCUGCCGAAUUCGUUUCUGCCGCAGUCCAUCGCUGCCGAAUUCUAGGCAAUGUGCUCUCAUUGGCGCGCCCCGCGCCUAGACCUCUAACACCAAGAGUCUUUCAUGGUUGCCUUGAAUUGAUUGACAGGAAGAAGUCUGAAUGUUUUUAGAAAGAAGCAGCCUUCAAGCUUUUCAAAACCAAUCUCUGUAUCUAUUAACAAAAACUCUAAAUCACGAGUACUAGACACAAUUAAUUAUGUUUUUUGUAAUUAUUAGAUAAUUGAAAUCAUCACUAACUCCUUUGUUCAUUUUCAUCUUUUUUUAUUACCCUUAGCAUGAUACACAGAAAAGAAGAAGGGUUCAAGAGAGAACAAUAAUGGAGGGGAAUCAAAAUCUUUGUUUGAUUUUAUGUUGUGUUUUUGGUACAUUGAUCAACAAUAGCAUGGAAGAGCUUGAUAGCAAUAACCUUUUCGACCUCAAUAAUUAAUGUUAACGCGUGGAUCCAGUUGUUGUGGAAACUUUGCAAAGGAUCUGCAGGAAGAAAAAUGAAAUUUGCUUGGUUGUUUGGUUUGUCUGUCCAGUACCUGAGAAAAAACAAAAGGAAAGCACUAUUCUUAUAAAUAAUGCAGGGGUAUACUAGAUUUUUCUCAUGAGAUCACAAUAAUUUAAUGAAAAGUAAACAAAAUAAAUUAUAAAAUUUAAUUUUUAAUUAAAUCUAUAUUAAAAGAUAAAAUUAAAAAAAAAAACUAAUUAAAAAAAAAUCUAAAUCAACUGAAUUAACUUGUUAAACCUAAGAUCCGUAUCAUGAGAAUGUGAUAACUAAAUAUAAAAAAAAUUUAAUAUUAAUGAACUAAAUUGAACAAACAAAAUUAAUUAUAAAGAAAAAAGCAAAAAUAAAAACACUAUAACCGAAGAAGAUCAGUUUUAGUUAUCAAUCGAAUUUUAGCAAAAUCUAGGAUCCAAGAAUUGGCCUCUGUAACAUAGUAUGUAUUCCGAGCCAAUCUGGGCUAGGACUUGAAACAAAUGUUGUAUACUGUUUGCACUGUCACUUUGCUUACCCUCUUAGGUUUUUAUUGAGAUUAGGAUUCUAUUGUAGCUCUUUUUUCUCCUUUUAUUAUAAUAAAAUAAUAUCUAUGGAUUAAUUUUGGUAUAAUUUAAGAAAGUAAGUCCUUUAAUCAAAUUUUAGAUUGACCAUCCACAAUGUGUUAAAAGUAAAUGUUAAUUUAUAAAAUAAUAUCCUUACUGCGCUAUAAAGCUGAUAUUGCUGUUGAUAGCUUUUGCUGGGUUGAUCUCUUUGGUUUAUCUCUAUCAUUCUGGGCAAAAGAUGAUUUUCACGCAGUUAUAGCUCGUUAUGGCUGUUUGAUUGGAAUUGAUAAUGCUAAAAGCACUUUUACAAAUUUGACGGCAGCAAGGGAAGGGUGUUAUUCUGCAGAACUCGGAAGGAGAUUAGUAGAUAUUGACCAUGUUGUUUCAUUGUCAGGGAAAGCACUUAUUUCUUUAAUGUAUGUUUCCGGAGAUUAUUGCGGUGGGAUAUGUUUUGGCAGCUAAUGCAAUUCACAAUGACCUUGGUCCUUGAGAUCUUUACCUAUUUUGGUUUUGGUCACCAAACUUCAUUUGUUUUCAAUUACAUCCUUGCAAGUUCUACUAACACGGUUCUAUUUGUUGUUAUCCACUUCGAUUUUCAUGUUCUUGCAUUUAUCAUAUAUCUUUAAAUAUUCCUACAUUGAAUUAGAAAUCAAUUUUUUUUAACCCUCCUAACCCAGUUGCUAUUAUGGCUAGUUCUCCACCUGCAUGUUCUUCCUUCUGAAGCGUGGCAUCGGUCUUUAGAUACACUUACUUAGUCCCUGUUAUUUAUAAAGCUUCUAAUUUAGUUCAAGUCAAUAAAAGCUUAGCAGUUUGAUACAGAAGCUCAUGGCCAAGUAAGAGAUGUUUGUUUUGGAUGUAAUAAAUAUUCAUAUUGGAACAUAAUAUUCAUCUCUCAAAUCCCUAAUCCAGUAGAUCAUAUAAAUAAUCGUUACCUUUUAUGAAUAUGAUUAUUGCAUUGCUAAUAAUUUGCAAGAAAGAUGAUGAACAUUUUUUAGUGAAUUAAGUUCAAUUAUAGAAAAUCCUGUACAAAUUAUACAAAAUUCUGCUUUAAGUUCUUGGAACCUCGCUUUGGGAUUAAUUAGUGAGAAUAAGAAAAUUCUCUGUGAAUUAUACAAAAUUUAUUAGUAGUCAUCGAUAUAAUAUUUAUUAUAGGUUAUCAAUAUUAAAUAAUGACUUAUUUUCUAAUAUAAACUAUUGAACGGGAUUUGUAUAUAAAAAUAAUUAAAUUCAGAUUUUUCAAUUAUCUUUAAACAUAUUACAGUUUUAAUCGGUGAACGGUCUAUCAUAUAAAUUAUAAAAAAAAUAUUUAUUAUAUAUAUAUAUAGUAAUAACAAAUUAAAUGAUAGUAACGUUAUUGUAAAGAAUAUGUUAUACUCAUUGUCAAAUUGGAUGAGUUACGUGGAGAAGGAUGCUCAUUGUCAAACUGCUAUUCCUAUCACAUUAUUAUAAAGAAUAAAAGCAACGGAAGAAUAUUGUUUGAAUAUAAACGAAUAGCAGCGACUGUGGUCCACUUGGGAAUUGAGACUAUGCAUAUAUUCAGUGCAUCGUAUUCGGUUCCUUCCCGGUGAGAUGCCAAAUUGGUUGAGCAGUGGAGAAUAAAAGCAACGGUUGGGAUUCAUUUGAUCUCGUACACCUUAAAGAAUGUAGGGUCCAUGCAAUUAAAGAAUGUACGUUGUCGAGGUACUAUUUCUUUUAAUAUUUCUUGCACAAGAAACACACAAUUAGCACUCCAAAUUAAUAUUUUUUAUAUAUAUAUAUAUAAUUAUACUCCGUCAGCAACUACCUCGAAAUUACCUCAAUACCAAUACACGCUUGAGAAAUUUCCUUGCUUUUUUUUCCUGUAUGUGUUACAUUUUUAUCUUUUAUAAUUAUAAUUAUUGCAUUGCUAAUAAUUUACAAGAAAUAAUAUUCUUUAUCUGAAAAGGGCUUGAGAAAACCUAAGCAUUCCAAGUAUGAAGUGUUUUAUUGUUUUAUUGCUAUAAAGUUUUUCACACUUACAAUAUAGAAAGAGAAAAAUUAAAAAAGAAAAAGAAAAAAAAGAAAGAGCAAAAGGAAACACUAAUGCAGUAUGAGAGUGAGAAUGAGAGAGAGGUAAUUUCGACUAUACAUAGAACUCGACUGGACAGAAGACUUAAAGAUAAAAUAGCUUUGAUUUACAACCAUGGCUUCAAGGGCCUGGAAUAAAACCAGGUACAAGUUUGUUUCUAUCUAAGAAAGCAAGAAGCUCCCACGGUGCACGCUCUCAACAAACAAGUAGGAAUUGAAUUCAAAGGAAUAAAUCAUUAAAUGCGGAGUUGGUGUUCUCCUGUUUGUGGUUCUGAUAAAUGUAAGAACGGACAGAGAGAUGAAAUAGGAAAGAUCCAUGUAUCUAUUAGUUGGCAGCAGUUAUCAUUCGGCCCUUGCCGCCCACGAAAUCCCUUUGUCCUGCUGUUAAUUUCUUAAUGACGCGUAUCAGGUGUUUGAUAAAAUUCCUCUGCUGGAAAAAAAAAAAAACCAUGUUUAGAAUGCUUUAGUCCUUUUCGAGUGGAAAGUGGUGUGAAAGUGGGAAGUACUGUGAGAGCUUUAUGCCACUUUCUAUCUUAGAUGUAAUUGCUUUGGCAAAAAGAAACAAAUAAAAGUUAGUGUUCGCACUGCUUUAGCCCAAGAGUCUUUCGUGAUCGGCUCUGUUUAUUUGCAGGAAAGUAAAUUUUUUUUGAAAAGUAAAUUUUAAAAAAAAUAAAUUUCAAAAAUGUAUUUUUCAAUGAAAAAAAAAAAAGAACAUAAAAAAAAAUAAAAUAUGUUGGUAAUAAAUAUAAAAGAUGGAUGAAAAUAUUAAAAAAUAAGAAAGAGAUAUAGAAUCUCUUUGUAAAUUUUCUACAAACUUAAUUACAAUUAUAUUAUAAUUUCUUUCCUAAAAUUAUUCAAAAUAUAGUAUUAGAAUUAUAUAAUACUCGGUUUUAAUAUAUAAUUAAAGAGUCUUUCCUAAAUCAAAUAAUAAAAAUAUCGUAUAACUCUUUUGGAUGAAUUGUUAAGUAGGGACUGUUUGGGGUCCUGACAAGGCGGAUUUUAUUUGAAUAUAUUAUUUGAUUAGUGUUGACUCUACUAUUGCUGCAUUGACGGGAAAUUUCAGUAUUCCAUAUCCUUGCUUUACUCUGCAGCUGACUUCUCUGUCCCAUUGCUACCAUUUCAUAGCCAACUCUUUGUUAUAUUUAACUUACUCUUCUUUGCUUCUUGUUCGUAACGAUAACUUGAAAGCCUUACGUUCAGAUAGAUAAUCAUUGACCAGUUCAUCCUAUAUCAUUCUAUUUAAUUUAGAAAUGCAGAAAGAAAAACGCAAGCAAUCCAAAGAUGAAGAAAUCGAUUCAUCCUCGCGAAAGAGAAGAAAAGCUGACCUCAGUAAGCCUAUUUAGAGAUUACAAUUAACCUCAUUUCAAUAUCAUAGCUUUGGAAUUUCAUAGCUAAGUCUUUGUUAUAUUGCUCCAUUGGUAAUUGACUGUGCCUUGAUUUCUGCAGCUGCCAUGAUAGAGCCGGAGUCUUCUCGAUCUAGACCAGAAGGGGCCUAUGAUGUCUUCUUGAGUUUUAGAGGAGAAGACACUCGCAAGUCAUUUACAGAUCAUCUAUACACUGCCUUGGUCCAAGCAGGAAUCCACACUUUUCGAGAUGAUGAUGAACUUCCGAGAGGAGAAGAAAUCUCCCAUCAUCUCCUCAGGACGAUUCAAGAAUCAAAGAUAUCCAUAGUUGUCUUCUCAAAAGGAUAUGCUUCUUCUAGAUGGUGUCUCAAUGAACUUGUAGAGAUUCUUAAGUGCAAAAAUAGGAAAACCGGUCAGAUUGUUCUUCCUAUAUUCUAUGACAUUGAUCCUUCAUAUGUGAGAAAACAGAAUGGCAGUUUUGCAGAAGCAUUUGUUAAACAUGAAGAGCGUUUUGAAGAGAAGUUGGUGAAGGAGUGGAGAAAAGCUCUUGAGGAGGCUGGAAAUCUAUCUGGAUGGAAUCUCAAUGAUAUGGCAAAUGGGUAUGCCUUUUCUCUCUAAAUUUCACUUGCAGACGUUUAUGGAGUAAUUUUACAUUACAUUUUUCAAUGUGAAGUAACAAAAUAUUUCUUUUUAGCAUACUUAAUUGACUUGCUAUCGAUGACUUGCUUUUUUUCUGUGAGCAGGCAUGAAGCAAAAUUUAUCAAAGGGAUUAUCAAGGAUGUGUUGAAUAAAUUAGAUCCCAAGUACUUAUAUGUUCCUGAACACCUAGUAGGUAUGGAUCAGCUUGCUCACGAUAUUUUGUACUUUCUAAGUACUGCAACAGAUGAUGUACGCAUUGUGGGCAUACAUGGGAUGCCAGGAAUAGGAAAGACAACUAUAGCAAAAGUUGUAUUUAAUCAACUCUGCAAUGGAUUCGAGGGAAGCUGUUUUCUUUCGAAUAUCAAUGAAACAUCAAAACAAUUUAAUGGUCUGGCUCUUUUACAAAAGCAACUUCUUCAUGAUAUUUUAAAACAAGAUGCUGCGAACAUCAAUUGUGAUGAUAGAGGAAAGGUUCUGAUCAAAGAGCGACUUUGUUGUAAAAGAGUUCUUGUUGUUGCUGAUGAUGUUGCUCAUCAAGACCAGCUAAUAGCUUUGAUGGGAGAUCGAAGUUGGUUUGGUCCCGGAAGUAGAGUAAUUAUUACAACAAGAGAUUCAAAUCUUCUUCGUGAAGCAGAUCAAACAUAUCAGAUCGAAGAAUUGAAACCAGAUGAGUCCCUUAAGCUUUUCAGCAGGCAUGCCUUUAAGGACUCCAAGCCAGGAAAAUAUUAUAUUGAGCUUUCAAAGAAAGUCGUUGGUUACUGUGGAGGACUUCCUUUAGCUCUUGAGGUUAUAGGAGCUCUUCUGUACAGGAAAAACAGAGGUAGAUGGGAAAGUGAAAUUGACAACUUGAGCAGAAUUCCAAACAACGAUAUUCAAGGAAAGCUUCUAAUAAGUUAUCACGCACUUGAUGAUGAACUACAAAGGGCAUUCCUUGAUAUUGCAUGCUUCUUUAUUGGUUUAGAGAGAGAAUACGUCGCAAAAGUGCUAGGAGCCCGUUGCCGUUACAAUCCAGAAGUUGUUUUGGAAACUCUCUGUGAAAGGUCUCUGAUUCAAUUUCAUAUGUGUAUAAUUAAAGAUGAAAGGCAGUUAUUUGAAAGGAUGGUAACCAUGCAUGAUCUAUUACGAGACAUGGGAAGGGAGGUCGUUCGUGAAUCGUCUCCAAAAGAACCUGGAAAGAGGACCAGAAUUUGGAAUCAAGAGGAUGCAUGGAAUGUACUUGAGCAGCAGAAGGUAAGAGCUCAAUGCAUACAUGAAAGCAUAGUCAUGCGUAUUUUCUAGUCAAACUUAUUACAAAUAAUUGAAUGAAAGUUGUAUUUUUUUUUUUUUUAGGGUACGGAUGUUGUAGAGGGUCUUGCACUGGAUGUCAGAGCAUCAGAAGCUAAAUCACUUAGCACAGGAUCAUUUGCAGAAAUGAAAUGCUUAAAUUUACUCCAAAUCAAUGGAGUACAUCUCACCGGAUCCUUCAAACUGCUUUCUAAAGAGUUGAUGUGGAUUUGUUGGCAUGAAUGUCCUUUGAAAUAUUUUUCAUCUGAUUUUACCUUGGACAAUCUAGUUGUUCUUGAUAUGCAAUACAGUAACCUCAAAGAACUAUGGAAGGGAAAAAAGGUACGAAACAUGCUACAAUCACUAAAAUUUUUCCAGUAUGUAAUUUAUAUUUACAUGUUAUGACUUUCUAUUAUUAAUUUUCAUUAUUUUCCUCUCUAUUAUAACAGAUUCUUGACAAGCUAAAAAUCCUUAAUCUCAGUCAUUCUCAGCACCUUAUUAAAACACCAGACUUGCACAGUUCAAGUCUAGAGAAACUAAUUCUGAAAGGUUGCUCGAGUUUAGUUAAGGUGCAUCAAUCAAUUGAAAAUUUGACGAGCCUUGUUUUCUUGAAUCUAGAGGGAUGUUGGAGGCUGAAGAAUCUCCCUGAAAGCAUUGGUAAUCUAAAGUCUCUUGAAACUUUGAAUAUUUCUGGGUGUUCACAACUUGAGAAAUUACCAGAACGCAUGGGUGAUAUGAAUCCUUAACUCAGCUGCUAGCUGAUGGGAUUGAAAAUGAGCAAUUUCUCUCUUCAAUUGGACAAUUAAAGCAUGUCAGAAGGUUAUCAUUGUGUGGAUAUAGUUCGGCUCCACCAAGUUCUUCUUUGAUUUCAGCAGGUGUUUUGAAUUGGAAACGUUUGCUGCCAACACCUUUCAUUGAAUGGAUAUCAAUGAAACAUCUUAACCUUUCUAAUUGUGGUUUAACUGAUCGCGCAAUUAACUGUGUUGAUUUCAGUGGUUUGUCUGCUCUAAAGUGUUUGGAUCUAGAUGGAAACAAAUUCUCUAGCCUACCUUUUGGGAUCGGUUUCCUUCCCAAGCUAGAGAUCUUGUCUGUUAAGGAAUGCAAAUAUCUUGUAUCAAUUCCAGAUCUUCCCUCAAGUUUAAACUAUUUGUUUGCAGUUCAUUGCAAAUCAUUGAAAAGAGUAAGAAUACCAAUCGAGCAAGAAGACCUAUGCAUAGAACUAGAUGGAAGUCAUUCGUUAGAAGAGAUUCAGGGCAUCGAAGGUCUAAGUAAUAGUUUCUGGUAUAUUUGUGUUCAUGAUCACCGCAGUCAUUCACCAAAUAAAUUACAGAAGAGCGUUGUUGAGGUACUAUUUCUUUCAAUCUCUCUUGCACAAAAAUAACACACACAAUUGGCACAUACAUUGAUUAAUAUCUAAAAUCUCAGCAUUCCUUGAAAUCAAUAUGUAUAUAGGCAAUAAUCAUUAUUAUUAUUAUUUUAUUUUAAAAAACAAAUAUCAUCUUUAAUAAUAUUUUUUAUUUUUCUUAUUUAAUCUAAAAAAAUAAAUAUUAUAUUUAAUAAUAUUUUUUAUUAAAUAUUUAAAGUCUGAUUGGUUUUAUUUUUUAUUUCUUGAUUUUAUGAUAAUAUAUUUAUACAGGCAAUGUGCAACGGUCGUCACCGGUAUCGUAUUGACCCCUUUCCUGGUGAGAUGCCAAAUUGGAUGAGCUACAGUGGAGAAGGAUGCUCAUUGUCAUUCCAUAUACCUCCAGUCUUCCAUGGCUUAGUUCUUUGGGUUGUCAAUCGACCACUUGAGAAGGAAGAUUAUUAUUACUACAACACUUACAUUAUUAUUAUUAUAAGAAAUAAAAGCAACGGUAUUCAAUUGUUUGAAGAUAAGCUACCAACAUUUGAGGGAUGGUUAAGAUACAUGAGUAGAAGUGAAAUGACAAUGGAAGAUUACUGUGCAGAUGACGAAUUGGAACUAUCCAUUUAUUCACAGCAAUGGCUCAACGAUCAUUCAUACCAACCCGCAGACAUUAAAGAAUGUGGGGUCCAUGUGAUUGCAGGGAAGUCAGAUUCAUUUGAAGAGUUGGCAGUGGGAAGAGAUACAAUGAUGCCUUCACCACCUCCAUAUCAUCUGCUUCCGCAUCCCACUUGUGGUUCGAUUACAGCGUCUACACUUAAGCAAUGGAGUGACUAUUUAUUUGCGGAGCUGCAAGGACAUAGCCUCUAUUUAAUACUUGAUGGUAAGAACAAAUAUUUCAUUUAGUUAUUUUUAUUCUAUUAUAUUUAAUUUAUGAGAUUAAAUAUUAUCUUUAAUGAUUUUAUUAUUAUUAUUUAAUAUAAAAAAUUAAAUAUCAUCUUUAAUAAAAAAAAUAUUAAAUAUUUAAGGCUUUUUGGUAAGAAUACAUAUUUCCUUUAGUUAUUUCGAUUCUAUUCUAUUUAAUUUAAGAGAUUAAAUAUCAUCUUUAAUUCUUACAUUUUUCUUAUUUAAUCUAAAAAAUUAAAUAUUAUCUUUAACAAUAUUUUUUAUUAAAUAUUUAGAGUCUGCUUGGUUUUAUUUUUUUUCUUGAUUUUAUGAUAAUAUUUUUCUUAUUUAAUAUAAAAAAUAAAUAUUAUCUUUAAUAAUUAGAUGAAAACAAAAAGCCAACAAUCACUAACAUAUUUUAUUAAAAUCACUUUAGUUUAUUUAGAAAAUAUUGAAAACUGAUUUUUGUUUUCUUACAUUAAAAUAAAAAAAAUUGAAUAAUGUUUUUAUAUUUUAUUUCAAACUUUAUAUUUUAAAACAAAAAUGAAAAAGAUGUGAUAUUGACCUUUAUUAUUAUAAAGUAAGUUUUUUUAUUAAAAGUGAUGGGAAUUUGUUCGUAAUAACAAAGUGCAUGUACAAUCUUGCACAUUUAACUUUCUUUUUAAAUUUGAUGGUUUUUUAGGACGUGAAUGGCGUUGGCCGAUGUGAGAGUACAAGAUCAUUUUAUAUAGAGAUGUUUGAAGUUGCUCCAAAUCAGUACACGAUACUUUCAUCUGACAUGUUGAUAUGUAUUUGUUGGCUUGAAGAUGAUUUUCCAAGCUUGGAAGUUUUAUUGAAUUCUCUUUGAAAUCUUUUCCAUCCGCUGGACAAUCUAGUUGUUAAUUAUUAUGCCUGAUGUAAUUUAUAUUUUCAAGUUACAAAUUUUGAUGAAUAUUGUUUCAUUUUUUCCCUCACUUCAAAAGAUGAAAAUCCUUGAUGUUAGUUAGAAAUAAAUUGGUUUUAUAGAAAGAGAUUAUUGAUUGGAAUAUUGUUUACUAACCCAUUUUAAAGUUCACUAUAUAAAUACUAGAAAAAUAUUUUAUUUUUUCAAUAUGAAAUUAAAAAAAUCCUUUUGGUUUAAAUACAUUAAUUUUAAAAAAUAAGAUAAUAUCUUUUUAAUAUGAGAUAAAAAGACAUUUUAAAAUAAUCUUUUAAACUUUAUUAUAUGCAACAUGUAUAACCUAUAUUCAUAUGAAUUGUUUCUUUAAUUUUUUGCAUAUGAAAUGUUAAAAAUCAAAUAUAUUUUUUUUAUUUUUUCGAGUUGACCUGGAUCAAUUUGUGUAACUCAAAACUCUAUUUUUUUGUCUGGUCAAUUUUAGGUUGGGUUGUAAAUUUAUUGAAAAAAACAUAAUUUUAUAUUUCUAUAAAAAUCAAAGGUAAAGAAUUAAAUUAUGACAUAUAUCACUAAUUAUUGAUAUACUCUUAUUACAAACACGAAAUUUUAUGUCACUUCAUGAUACCCAUGUUUUCAAUGCUUUACACUGCUUUAAAAAAUUGUUACAGUAAUAGCACAGAGAGGAACGGUUCAAGAAAAAACAAUAAUGGAGUUGAAGCAAAAUCACUGUUUGAUUUUUUUCUUUUUUGUGUUUUGAUUAGUACUUAAAAGUGCAUGUUUAUCAAGGGUUUAUAUCAUCAUUUCGCACUUAAAGUAUCAAUAACUCCUUAACUAAAGCAUGUUUUAUAAUAACAAGUCUAAUACUAUAAAAUGCCCUAAUAUAUGGUAAAUGUUCAUCUUAAAUGCAGGCCUAUCACAUAAAUCAAAGGAUUGAUUGAUGAAUUCAACUACUGAAAUUUGUGAAGAUAAAGAGAGGGUGAAACUUAGAAAAGAGAUGUUGGUGCAGUCCAAACUGGAACACUGUUCGGUAAUUGGGUCAUAUCUCGAGUUCUAGAUGUCCAAAUGAUCUCAAAUUUUUACACAGAUUCAGUAAGACAUAGGCCUACAACUUUCAUGUUUUCAUCAAGAUCUAAGAAGGCCGUUUUCAAGUCCAAAUUAUAGCAACAACGGAGAAGUCCGAAUCUGUCCUGCAGCCCGAACACUGUUCAGUGUUUGGCCCAUAUCUGGAGUUCUAGAAGUCCAAAUGACCUCAUUUUUUUUCCUGGAAGAAUUUCCUACAACUUUCAUGUUUCAGUGGACCCAGUUCGAUGGUAGCAUUUUUGUUUUAUUCAGACAAGAAGAUAAGGAUUUUCACAAGUCAAAAGUUGGCCACCCACUCAACAAUUAGUCAUCAAAUCAAUAAUUCCGAAUUUUGGCCUAUAAAAGGAGGCAUUUGCCAUGUAUUUGGGGCUUGGUUGUUCAGAUCAAGUUCAUGCUCUUUAUUUCUCUCUUUAUAUUUUUUGUAAUUUUAAGUUUUGCUUUCAUUAAUAUCUUGUUUAUGCUUUUCAUUUCCUUUCCUUUCUUAGUUAACUUGUAUUUUUUUAUGUUCUUGUUUUGUUUAUUUAUGUUUCUCUUCUUCAUUAUGUUUAGCUAAGUUUAUUAUGUCAAGGUGAAAAGGUUACACUAAUGGUGUAAGAAUAAGUAUGUGUAAACUCAACAUGGACCUUAAUGUUUAAUAUUAACAUGUCUUAUCUUUUUAUCUUACUAAUUCUUAAUACCUUGCUUGUUAAAUGGUUAAUCUAGAUUUGUGUUGUAUAACACUUGGUACAACAAAUGCUUGGCACUCUCAUAGCCCAACCGUAUGGUAUUACCUACACCUGGGCUAUGAAAGGAACUUGAUUUGUUGUUAACAUCAGUUAAUCAUGAAUUCCUGACAAUAUUUAAAAGUUUGGUGUUAUGUAAAUAAGAUAAUUAAUAUGAUCAUGUUAAUAAUUUAUAAUGAGCUAUUAAUGACAAAUCAUCCGAUUGGAACCUCCUUUGUGUGUGGUUUCCAAAUUGAGUAAUAAGAGUUUAUACUAUACUUGUUUGAAAUACCAUUGGUGGAUCCUCUAACCUUGACAUUUGUUUUUAUCAUUGUUUAAUCCUUACAUUAAUCUUCCAUCUCAAAGUUCUCAUUAAUUUCUUCUCUUCUUCUUUUUUUUUCUUUUUUUUUAUUAUAUUAUAUUAUAUUAUAUUACUACUACUACUACUACUAGUAUUAUUAUUAUUAUUAUUAUUACUAUUACUACUACUACUAUUGCUAUUAUUAUUAUUGCUAUUAUUAUUUCUAUUAUUAUUAUUAUUAUUAUUAUUAUUAUUAUUUACAUUAUGUUUAUAUUAUAUAAUAUAUAUUUUUUUAUCUUUUUAUAAACUCAGUAUAUAGGCUGGAAACCUGUGACCCGAUCUUUUAGAUCAUUCUCAGGUGUAAUAACGCCACGUACUGAGUAUUACUAUUACUAUUACUAUUAUUAUUACUAUUAUUGCUAUUAUUGUUAUUAUUAUUGUUAAUUGUUGUUGUUAUUGUUGUUAUUAUUAUUAUUAUUGUUGUUGUUGUUAUUAUUGUUGUUGUAUUAUUGUUAUUUAUAAUUUGUACAAUUAACCUCUAUGUGGUUCGACCCCGGUCUUGCCGGGUUAUUUAUUACUUCGACACUCCUGCACUUGAGAGAAGACAUCAAUCUUUUGGUCGUGUCAUGUUUUGGGUACAUUGGUCAACAAUAGCUUGGAAGAGUUUGGAAUCAGUAACACGUGGACCCAGUUGUUGUGGAAACUUUGCAGAGGAUCUACACUCUGCAGGAAGAAAAAUGAUUUUAAUGGAUGUACUGUACAUCAUUUGAAUUUAUUAAAAGUAACAAGAUAUAUACAAUUAGAUGCUAUUUUUCGAUCAUAGAAGUAGCAUGAUUUUAAUAUACACCUUCUUUCAACGUUUUACACUGCUUUAGUCGUAAAAAAAAAAAAAAAAACUAUUAGAUGCUAUAAAACAAGAUAUAUACAAUUUAAUUUGAGAGUGCAAUAGAUAUUAUAUUUCAAAAUAUUUUUGAAAUAUAUUAAAAUAUUACUUUUUUUAAAAAAAUAAUUUUAAUAUCAUAUAUUAGAACAAUAAAUAAUAAUAAUAACUUAAAACAAUAAAAAAUUUUAAAAUCUUUUAAAAAUAUAAUUUUACUGACUCCAAAACACACCCAUGCUCCCUCAGCAACCACCACGAAAUUACCACUCUAAAUUACAGCUCAAUAAUUUAUUUUAGCAAUUAUUGCUUGCUCUUUGACAGUUAUUGCUUUGUUGCAAGAAACUUUCUCAAUUUCCUUCUAUUUUCUUUUUAUCAUGGAAACUUUAAGUCACAUUUGCGCCGACCACAGAAUUACCGAUAAGUAAAUUUCAAUGCGUAAUUGUGUAGGUUUCAAUUAAAAAUGCUUUAAUUUGAAAAAUUAUGUUAACAAUAAUAUAAAUUAAUUUUUCUUCAUAAAAAAGUAAUUGGGUAUUAAUUUAGGCUAUAAAUUAAGAUAUAAUAAUAAUAAUAAUAAUAAUAAGAGUUCGAGGGUAUUCAUUUUAUUAUUUGUUAGGUAACUAUAUAAUCUAAUUUGUUGAUGUGGAAAAUAGCACAAAGUUUUUGGGCAUGGCUAUUGGUGAGAAGCAAAAGCAGUAGCAGUCCAUGAGGACCAUCACCAUCGUAUCCACUAUGAGAGCUUUUGUAAACCCCGUGGACCCAGUUGUUGUGGAAACUUUGCAAAGGAUCUGCAGGAAGAAAAAUGAAAUUUGCAAAGUAUUUGUGUGUAUUAUAUAAUUGUGUUAAUUUAAGGAUUAUUUUUUAGUUGUAUCAAUUUAGAAAAUAUUUUUUUUUCUUGUGCCAUCUCCCUUUCCCUUCUUUACAUGGCUUACUCGAUGAAAAAAGCAAACACCCCAUUUUGAUUUUCAAUCUGUAUGAGUGAGAAAGAAAGAGAGGACAAGGGGGUCCUCUCUCUUUCCUUGCUUUUUUCAACGCUUGAGAAAUUUCCUUGUUUAUUUUCCUGUACGUGUUCCCUUUUACCUUUUAUAAUUAUGAUUAUUGCAUUGCUAAUAAUCUGCAACAAAGAUGAUGAAUAUUUUUUUUAGUGAAUUCAAAAUAACAAAAAAUAAGGUUUGUUGAGGCUUUUCUUGGAACCUCGUUCUGGGAUUAAUUAGUGAGAAUAAGAAAAUCCUGGGCAAAUUAUACAAAAUUUAUUAUUAAUAAUCAAUAUUUAUUCUUCAUCAUCAAUAUUGAAUAAUGGCUUAUUUUCUAGUAUAAAAAUAAAUAAAUUGAGGUUUUUCAAUUACCUUUAAACAUAUCAUAGUUUUGGACGGUACAUCUUUUGAAUUUAUUAAAAAAAAACAUGUAAUGUAAAUUAUAAAAAAUAUUUUUUUUUUCUGAUAUACAUAGUAAUAAUAAAUUAGAUGAUAAUAACUAGAAAAUAGGAAUUAGUUUGAUAAGUUGAACUCCACGAUCAGUGGAGAUAUCAAGUUUUUUAUAUAUAUAAUAUUAUAGUUAUAUUGAUGAAGUGAGACGAGUUUAAAUUUUAUAAUUUUUACACUUAUACUAUACUAUAGGAAUGUGGUUAUGUGGAAAAAAAAAAAAAAGAUUUAGUGAUAACUGCUUAGCCCAAGAGUCUUUCAUGGUUGCCACAGGUUAAUUAUUUAAUCUCAUGCUCAUUGCCUGCAGCUAAGCUUCGGCAGUCACCAAGUUGCUAUUAAGGUAAGUUCUCCACCUGCGUGUUCUUCCUUUUCAAGCUAAGCGUAGACAUCUUUGGCUACAUUUACUUAUAAUUUAGUUCAAGUCAAUAAAAACUUAGCAGUAAUUUGAUACAAAAAAUUCAUGGUCAUUAAAUUGUCGACGAGCAUGUAAGCUAACCUGAACACGCGUGUUAAUUAAAAAAAUAAAAAAGACAACAUUAUCAUUCAAAAGUUAGUAAUACAAUAACCUUUACUUAUUUUUCAAGUUUCAUAGAAUAGUAGUGGAAUAAAUUUUUUGUAAUUGGUAAAAUACGUCAUGCUAAAGCUAACAAAUAAUUAAUAACACAAGAAAGAACGGAAGUUAACUACAAUAAAUAUUUUUUUGAAAAACGGAGCCACAAUACGAGGAAAUCUCUUCACUUAUCAAUGAAAUAUUACUUCUCCUGUAAAUGAAUAGAAAUAAUUUAAUUGAUUACUUGGAAGAAGAAAGCGUAUCCCUUCUCACUAAUAAAAGUAGUUUGAAGUAUCAUUAAACCGGACAAAAAUAAACAACCGAUAAUAAUAUAGUUAAGAUGAAAAAAAAUUGUUUAAAAAACAAUUUGAACCAAUUAAUCUUAAAAAAACCAAAAAGAAACAUGCCAUGAAAAAAAGUAUUGUUUAAAGGAACGCAAAAAUGCAUUCCAAGUAUGAAGUGUUUUAUUGCUAUAAAGUUUUUCAAACUUACAAUAUAUAGAGAGAGAGAGAAAUAAAAAGAAAAAAGAGCAAAAGGAAACAGCCCCCGUCUUUCAUGUUCCCUUUCCCUUCUUUACACGGCCUACUCCAUGAAAAAGCAAACACGGCUUAAAGAUAAAAUAGCUUUGAUUUACAACCACGGCUUGAAGGGCCUGGAAUAUAGGACCAGGAAAAAUUCAUGUAUCUAUUACUAGACACAAUUAAUUGUACAUUGCUAUAAUAAAAUUACGUAUUUAUUUUUAAGUGGGAAAAAAUUAAGCCAUGAGGCCAGGGGUUCUUUGUCUUUACCUAUUUUUGUUUUGGCCACCGAAUUUAUUUUUUUUCAAUAAAAGAGAAUGUUUUGUGUAACUAUUAGAUAAUUGAAAUCAUCGCUAAUCUCCUUUGUUCAUUUUCCUUUUUUCAUUACCCCCUUCCGCUUGGCAUGUGCGAAGCUUUAUAUCGAAGAGCUUGUUUGGCAGUGUGGUAGCGAUUGCUUUUCAAAUAGCUUUUUGUGCUAAAAUACAUGUCAAUGAUGUUUUUUCAUUUUUUAAAAAUUAUUUUUGACAUCAGAACAUCAAAACGAUCUAAAAAAUAUAAACCGAAUUCAAUUUUAACAAAAAAAAAAAACAAUUCAAAUUUACACCAAACACAGGUGCAAACGCAGAGACAAACGGUCUCUCAUGAUACCGAUGUUUUCAACGCACUCAAAUCCAUUGUUAGACGCUAAAAGGCAAUAGUAAGAAAGUAAGUCCUUUAAUUUUGGUAGUGGUAGAGACGGCUGGGAGAGGGAGACGAAGGAGAGGUCAGGGAAAGGAGGAAGAUGGGAACGGAGGCCAAGGGGUCUUCUGUUUGUGGAGGUCUGGAAAUGUAAAUGGAAACGGCUUUGGCUCUCUGGUUCUGUUUUUUGGCAAGGAAAUGGGGGGCGGCGGCUGGCUUAGAGAAGAUAAAAGAUUGGGUUUUUUUAGAGUUUCUUUGGGUUUCCUCAAUUUUCUAUCUAAAACUGCCUCAUUACUCUUUUUUUAUGCGUUGUGAGAACCUUUAUUUAUAAGUAAAAUAUUGUUAGGUUCUUCCUCAACUUUUUUUUUUCUUUUUAUAAAUUUUGAAUUUUUUUUUGUAUUUUGAAUUUUUUUAGAAAAAAAAAGCAAUAUCAAUAUUGACUUCAUAAAAAAUAUUAAUGAUUUUAAAAAUAAUAUCGAACAGGUUCAAAAAACCUUUAAAAAUUUAAAUUCUUUUAAUAUAACACUAAAAAUACUAAAAACAAUACAAAUAUAUCAAGAAUAUAUUUUGUUGGGUUUUCAUUAUUUUUUGUUAGUUUUGGAUUUUUUAGAAAAAUUAUAAAAAAGAUAGGUCCAAAAUUGGAUAACAACACUGGGUCUGUUUUAUUGAAAACUCGGGCCUGCAGUUGACCCAGAGAAAACCGGUCAACCCACCGAGUAGUCUGGAACUCGGAUGACCUAACAAAACUUGAUAGAAAUCCAUUUUUUUUUUUAAUGUGUUUUUCCUUCUAGUUAGAGAUUUCUAUUUUUUUUUUUUAAUGUGUUUUUUCUUCUAGUUAGAGCCCUUUAUUUGAUUUGAAAAUAUUAUUUGAUUAGUCCACUUAUAGGUUGACUCUAUUAUUCCUGCCUUGCAUUGCCAGGAAAUUUCUAGUAAUUUAAAUAGGAAAUUUCCUGGUGAUAAACUUGGAAUAUAAUUUUCAACUUUCGUAGGCUAGCACUAAAGUCCCAAACUUCAAGAAUUUCUCUUCUUUUCUCAUUUUCUUGGCAUGCGCGCAGCUGCCUCGAGGAAAAAACGUUUCAGAUGCGGAAAAUAAAUAUAAAAGUGGAAAACAAAUCCCAAAUAUCGACAAACAUGACAAGAGAAGCUUGAUAUCUCUUCGUCCCUUGGUAUCGUGUGAAUGUGGAUAUUAUUUCAGAAUAUCAAUUCAACCGUACUCCAAAGAACACUCAUACUCCAAUAUCAGCAACCACCACGAAAAUUACCAGCUCAGUAAAUUUAUUCUUUGACAAUUAUUACUUCUAAAAAAAAUGAAUUUUUUUUUUAAUUAUACGGCAUCAGCAACUACCUCAAAAUUACCACUCCAAAUUCCAGCUCAAUAUCGAUCAACAUGUGGCUAAAGAAUUUGAUUGCUGCUCAAUAUUUACCGAUACGUGCUUAAGAAAUUUCCUUGCUUUUUUUUCCUGGCAGAAAUUUGAAAAAAAAGAAGAUAAAAAAGAAAUAUGCUUUAGUUGUUCGCUUUUAUUCACCUAUAUUGGCGCUAUAAAGUUUUUUUGAUUGAGGUUUGGUUAAUAAACUCUUAUUUCAUCUUUACUGGCGCUAUAAAGCUGAUAUUGCUGUUGAUAGCUUUUCCUGGGUUGAUCUCUAUCAUUCUGGGUAAAAGUUGAUUUUCACGCAGUUAUAGCUCGUUAUGGCUGUUUGAUUGGAAUUGAUAAUGCUAAAAGCACUUUUACAGAUUUGACAGCGGCAAGGGAAGGGUGUUAGACUAUGUUUGAUAGUGUUGUAACAGUUGUUUUUUAAAUAACUUUUUAUAUUAAAAUGGAUAUCAAUGAUAUUUUUUUUAUUUUUUAAAAAUUAUUUUUUAUAUUAUUAUAUCAAAACGAUCCAAAACAUAUGAACCGUAUUAAAUUUUAUCAAAAAAAAAUUUUGAAUUUUAUAAGAAUAUAGUUCAAUCACAUUCCCAAACGGUUCCUUAAUAAGCAGAACUCGGAAGGAGAUUAUUUUCGACGAGAAUAGUAUUGACCAUGUUGUUUCAUUGUCAGGGAAAGCACUUAUUUCUUUAAUGUAUGUUUCCGGAGAUUAUUGCGGUGGGAUAUGUUUUGGCAGCUAAUGCAAUUCACAAUGACCUUGGUCCUUGAGAUCUUUACCUAUUUUGGUUUGCAUUGCUAAUAAUUUGCAACAAAAAUGAUGAACAGUUUUUAGUGAAUUAAGUUUAAUAAUAGAAAAUCCUGUGCAAAUUAUACAAAAUCCUGCUUUAAGUUCUUGGAACCUCGCUCUGGGAUUAAUUAACGAGAAUAAGAAAAUUUUGUGCAAAUUAUAUAAAAUUUAUUAUUAAUCAUCGAUAUAAUAUUUAUUAUAGGUCAUCAAUAUUGAAUAAUGAUUUAUUUUCUAGCAUAAACUUUGUUUGAGAUAAAAUUGAUAAAAGACAUGAUUACACAAUUAUUGAUGGGAUUGUAUAUAAAAAUAAUUAAAUUGAGAUUUUUUUAAUUAUUUUUAAACAUGUCAUGGUUUUAGGUACAUCAUGUAAAUUAUAAAAAAAAAAUAUUUAUUUUUCUGAUAUAUAUAGUAAUAACAAAUGGUUAGAAUGCUUUCGUCCUUUUCGAGUGGAAAGUGGUGUGAAAGUGGGAACUACUGUGAUAGCUUUAUGCCACUUUCUAUCAUUAGAUGUAAUGGCUUUGGCAAAAAGAAACAAAUAAAAGUUAGUGUUGGCAUCGAUUUAAUAAAUUGUUACAAUAAUAGCACUAGGUGAAGAAUGGUGAACCUGUCGCGCUGGAUCGCUUUAAUAAAAAUGUUUUCGGACCGCAAAAAGACAUUCCCUUUCUUGUCAUAAAGUUUUGAAGAGCUAUCAAAAAAUACUUUUCGUGUAUUAUUGUCAUUAAAUUUUUCAGACUUUCAAUAUAGAGAGAGAAAUAAAAAUAAAAAGAGCUAAAGGAAACAACCCCCAUUGAAAAUCAAACGGGAAACGCCAUUACUCCAUUACUCCUAGAUUCAUGUUGUAGUUUGCUUUUUAAAGGGAAAGGGAAUGUUUUUAGCUAAAGGAAACGCCCCAUUUGAUUUUCAAUCAGUAUGAGUGAGAAAGAGAGGACAAACGGGUCCUCUCUCUCUUUCCCUUUUGGCUACAUUUACUUAGUCCUGUUAUUUAUAAAGCUUAUAACUUAGUUCAAGUCAAUAAAAGCUUAGCAGUUUGAUACAAAAGCUCAUGGCCAAAUUAGAGAUAUUUGUUUUGGAUGUAAUAAAUAUUCAUAUUGUCACAUAAUAUUCAUCUUUCAAAUCCAUAAUUUAAUUGAUCAUAUAAAUAAAUUUUUUUUAAAAAAAAAAAGCAAAAAGGAAACAUCUUUCUUGUUCCCUUUCCCUUCUUUACACGGCCUAGUACUCAAUGAAAAAGCAAACACCCCAUUUGAUUUUCAAUCAGUAUGAGAGUGAAAAUGAGAGAGAGGUACAAGUUUGUUUCUAUCUAAGAAAGCAAGAAGCUCCCACUAAUGCAUGUUCUCCACAAACUACCCCCAAAUCCGUCACUACAGCUCAAGUAGCUUUGAGUCAUUAAUUCCAACAAAUAGGAAUUGAAUUCAAAGGAAUAAAUCAUUAAAUGCGGAGUUGGUGUUCUCGUGUUUGUGGUGCUGAUAAAUGUAAGAACAGACAAAGAGAUGAAAUAGGAAAAAUCCAUGUAUCUAUCCUUUAUCCUGCUGUUAAUUUUUUAAAGACGCGUAUCAGGUGUUUGAUAAAAUUCCUCAACUUAAAAAAAAUAAAUAAAUAAAAAACCAUGUUUAGAAUGCUUGAGUCCUUUACGAGUGGAAAGUGGGAACUAUCCACUUUCCCAUUCUCCACUGAGCGUGAAAGAGGGAACUACUGUGAGAGCUUUAUGCCACUUUCUAUCUUAGAUGUAAUGGCUUCGGCAAAAAGAAACAAAUAAAAGUUAGUGUUGGCACUGCUUUAGCCCAAGAGUCUUUCAUGGUUGCCUUGAAUUGAUUGACAGGAAGAAGUCUGAAUGUGUUAAGAAAGAAGCAGCCUUCAAGCUUUUCAAAACCAAUCUCUGUAUCUAUUAACAAAAACUCUAAAUCGCGAGUACUAGACACAAUUAAUUAUGUUUUUUGUAAUUAUUAGAUAAUUGAAAUCAUCACUAACUCCUUUGUUCAUUUUCAUCUUUUUUUAUUACCCUUAGCAUGAUACACAGAAAAGAAGAAGGGUUCAAGAGAGAACAAUAAUGGAGGGGAAUUAAAAUCUUUGUUUGAUUUUAUGCUGUGUUUUUGGUACAUUGAUCAACAAUAGCUUGGAAGAGCUUGAUAGCAAUAACCUUUUCGACGUCAAUAAUUAAUGUUAACGCGUGGAUCCAGUUGUCGUGGAAACUUUGCAAAGGAUCUGCAGGAAGAAAAAUGAAAUUUGCUAAUGCAGGGGUAUAGUGGAUCUUUCUCAUGAGAUCACAAUAAUUUAAUGAAAAAUAAAUAAAAUAAAUUAUAAAAUUUAAUUUUUAAUCAAAUUUAUAUUAAAAAAUAAAAUUAAAAGAAAAAAAAACUAAUUAAAAAAACAAAAUCUAAAUCAACUGAAUUAACUUGUUAAAUCUAAGAUCCGUAUCAUAUCAUGAGAGUGUAAUAACUAAAUAUAAAAAAAAAUUAAUAUUAAUGAAUUAAAUUGAACAAAUAAAAUUAAUUAUAAAAAAAAUAAAUAAAGAAAAAAGCAAAAAUAAAAACACUAUAACCGAAGAAGAUCAGUUUUAGUUAUCAAUCGAAUUUUAGCAAAAUCUAGGAUCCAAGAAUUGGCCUCUGUAACAUAGUAUGUAUUCUGAGCCAAUCUAGGCUAGGAUUUGAAACAAAUGUUGUAUACUGUUUGCACUGUCACUUUGCUUACCCUCUUAGGUUUUUAUUGAGAUUAGGGAUUCUAUUGUAGCUCUUUUUUCUCCUUUUAUUAUAAUAAAAUAAUAUUUAUGGAUUAAUUUUGGUAUAAUUUAAAAAAGUAAGUCCUUUAAUCAAAUUUUAGAUUGACCAUCCACAAUGUGUUAAAAGUAAAUGUUAAUUUAUAAAAUAAUAUCCUUACUGCGCUAUAAAGCUGAUAUUGCUGUUGAUAGCUUUUGCUGGGUUGAUCUCUUUGGUUUAUCUCUAUCAUUCUGGGCAAAAGAUGAUUUUCACGCAGUUAUAGCUCGUUAUGGCUGUUUGAUGGGAAUUGAUAAUGCUAAAAGCACUUUUACAUAUUUGACAGCAGCAAGGGAAGGGUGUUAAUCUGCAGAACUCGGAAGGAGAAUAGUAUAUAUUGACCAUGUUGUUUCAUUGUCAGGGAAAGCACUUAUUUCUUUAAUGUAUGUUUCCGGAGAUAAUUGCGGUGGGAUAUGUUUUGGCAGCUAAUGCAAUUCACAAUGACCUUGGUCCUUGAGAUCUUUACCUAUUUUGGUUUUGGUCACCAAACUUCAUUUGUUUUCAAUUACAUCCUUGCAAGUUCUAUUAACAGGGUUCUAUUUGUUGUUAUCCACUUCGAUUUUCAUGUUCUUGCAUAUAUCUUUAAAUAUUCCUACAUUCAAUUAGAAAUCAAUUUUUUUUAACCCAAUUGCUAUUAAGGUAAGUUCUCCACCUGCAUGUUCUUCCUUUUCAAGCUAAGCGUAGGCAUCUUUAGCUACACUUACUUAGUCCCUGUUAUUUAUAAAGCUUAUAAUUUAGUUCAAGUCAAUAAAAACUUAGCAGUUUGAUACAAAAGCUCAUGUCCAAGUAAGAGAUGUUUAUUUUAGAUGUAAUAAAUAUUCAUAUUGGAACAUAAUAUUCAACUCUCAAAUCCCUCAUCCAGUUCAUCAUAUAAAUAAUUGUUUUAAUUAAUAACUAUAAGAAAUAAAAAUAAAACCCAUUGCUAGUUGAUUACUUGAAUAAAAACUCAAGAUUGCCGAGCAAAGCAAAUAAAUUACUUAAUCAGGGUUACUGGAGGAGUUAUUUGCCAGGAAAUUUUAAAAUACAGUUAAAAUUGUGUUUUUAAAAAUAUUUUUAGAUCAUUGUGAUAUAUUGAUAUUAAAAAUAAAUUUUAAUAUAUUUUUAAUUAAAAAAUAUUUUUUAAAACAAUUUUCACCACACUAUCAAACAUGUUAAAUUUUUUUCAAAUAUAUGGAUUGAUGUUGACUCUCUAGUUAUUUUUUAUAAUAAAUUUUGAAUCCAAACAAGUGAAUUUAAAUGCAUGCUUGAUUUUCUCUUUAAUUUAAUUAACAAUAAUUUCUCAUUUUCAAUAAAUAUUUGAGUUUAUUAAUUAUUCGAGUAAGACGAACUCUGUAUUUUAAAAUACUAUUUUUAAAAGAUUUUCUUUUUAUGGAUCAAGACAACAGUAUCAUUCAAAUGUUAUGAAUAUAAUAACUUUUACAUAUUUUUCAAGUUUAGUACUAGAAUAGUAGUGUAAUAAUUCUUUUAAUAUUUAAAAAUUAAAAAAAUACUGUGUAGCUGUUUUGUAUAAAUUGUAAAGUAAAAGCACAGAGAAGACAGAACAAUAAUGAAGGACCUCAAUAAUGUUAACGUGUGGGACCCAGUUGUUGCAUCCACCACGAAUGUUCCAUCUCAAUAUUUACCAGUACUACACGCUUGAGAAAUUUCCUUGCUUUUUGUACCUGAACCGCUCUACGUGUAACCUUUUACCUUUUAUAAUUAUGAUUACCAGCAAAGUUUGCGGUGCGCAUGGAUGGUCCAUUCCACCCGUACACAUUAAAGAAUAUAGGUCCAUGUGAUCGUAGGGAAAUCAUAUUCAUUUAAAGAAAAUUGCUAAUAAUUUGCAAGAAAGAUGAUGAACAUUUUUUAGUGAAUUAAGUUCAAUUAUACAAAAUUCUGCUUUAAGUUCUUGGAAUCUCGCUCUGGAUUAAUAAGCGAGAAUAAAAGAAUUCUGUACAAAUUAUAUAAAAUUUAUUAUUAAUCAUCGAUACUUAUUAUAGGUCAUCAAUAUUGAAUAAUGAUUUAUUUUCUAGCAUAAAUUAUGUUUGAAAUAAAAUUGAUAAAAGACAUGAUUACACAAUUAUUGAUGGAAUAGUAUAUAAACAUAAUUAAAUUGAGAUUUUUAAUUAUUUGUAAACAUAUCAUGGUUUUAGGUACAUCAUGAAAUUAUAUAAAAAAUAUAUUUAUUUUUCAUAUAUAUAUAGUAAUAACAAAUGGUUAGAAUGCUUUAGUCCUUUUCGAGUGGAAAGUGGUGUGAAAGCGGGAACUACAGUGAGGGCUUUAUGCUACUUUCUAUCUUAGACGUAAUGGCUUUGGCAAAAAAAAAACAAAAAAAAGUUAGUGGUGGCACUGCUUUAUGCCACUUUCUACUUGCAUUGACUGACUUGUUAAAUAUUUGCUACUUGAAAUGAAAUUUUCAAGUAAUUUAUGGAGGAAAUUUCCUUGUACUCUCUCCUGUACAUUAUUAGAAAAAUUGUUAUUGACUAAUUGAUUUGUAAAAGUAUUUCCAAGAAAGCUAAAGAAUUAGAGUUUUUAAAAUUUUUAAAUUAUUAAAAACCUCCAAUUUUUAUUUUUUUUUUAAAUCAAGAAUAAAACACCAACUAUUUAUAUAAUUGCUAAAUAAAUCUAAUAAAAUAAAUUGGAAAUAAAUAGUAAAUAAUCCAAAAAUAAUUAGAAAAUAAAUAUAUUUCCACAAUAUGAUAUGAGUAUGUUUUCUAUCUUGAUCGACUGACUUGCUAAGUAUUUGUUAAGCAUAAAUGAACUUUACUCUAAAAAUCUGUUUAAUAUUUUUCUUACUUUUAUUAUUUUACUUCAAAGUUUCAAUUUCAUAUUUUUUUACAAUGUAUAUGUUAUUUAAUUAGUCUAAUCAUAGAACAUGUUAAGAAUUGACUUGAAAUUAACACUUGAAAUUCUGGACUGGAAACUGGCUUAAAUGCUAGCCACCAACCCUUUUUUGCUCAAUCCAUGGUAGAAAAUGUGAUUUCUUAUUCAAGAUCGUGGACAACACACUCAAGAUUAUGGGAAGGUGUUUUUUGUUUACUAGGAGGAUCAAUUCGUAGCUAUGAUUGGGUCGAAAAGAGGGAAAAAAGUGGCAGCAUUCCAUAUACGUUUAAGGAAACCCAAAUUUCUACAGAUUUUAGGGACAAAACAACGUCAUUUUUGUUUUUCUUUCAAUAUCAAAAUUUUUUCUUCCCUUUUUCCAGGCAAAACGCACCAUUUUAAUCGGUGUAAAAAGGCGUCGUUUUGCUUUCGGUUUUCUUCUUAUGGAAUAAUGCUAAACGCCCAUGUGGAACUAUAUAAAUGCAACAUUUUAGCAUUUUUUGUACUUCGAUCCCUAGACUUUUAAUUCUUUUAUUUAAAUAUAUUAUUUGAUUAGUCCAUUUAUAGGUUGACUCUACUAUUCCUGCCUUGACAGUAAAUUUCACUAGAAAUUUCAAGUAAUUUACACAGGAAAUUUCCUGGUGAUAAACCUGGAAUCUGAUUUUCAACUUUCGUAGGCGAGCACUAAAGUCCCAAACUUCAAGAAUUUCUCUUCUUUUCUCAUUUUCUUGGCAUGCGCGCAGCUGCCUCGAGGAAAAAACGUUUUAGAUGCGGAAAAUAAAGGUAAAAGUGGAAAAUAGAAGCGGGAAAAUAAAUCCCAAAUAUCGACAAACAUGACAAAAGAAGCUUGAUAUCUCUUCGUCCCUUGGUAUCGUGUGAAUGUGGAUAUUAUUUCAGAAUAUCAAUUCAACCGUACUCCAAAGAACACUCAUACUUCAAUAUCAGCAGCCACCACGAAAGUUACCACUCUAAAUUCCAGCUCAGUAAUUUAUUCUUUGACAAUUAUUACUUUUUAAAAAAUGAUUUUUUAUUAAUUAUAUGCCAUCAACAACUACCUCAAAAUUACCACUCCAAAUUCCAGCUCAAUAUCGAUCAACACGUGGCUAAAGAAAUUUUUUUUAAUCUCUUAUAGGAAUCUCUUUACUAAAUCAUCAAAAUAUCAUAUUAUAUUUCCAAAUACUAUUACUACAGUUUAUAUAUAUAUAUAGAAACAACUAAGUAGAGAAAUUAUCUUUUAUUUUCUUGUUCUUUAGCUUCCGUUUCGGUUUUGGCUUCUGAUUCUUUGGCUUUAGGUACAACCUAAGUAGGUAAAGCUUCUGUUUCUUUGUUCUUGUUCCUUUAUAUAUAUACAUUCUCAAUUUCAUAAAAAAAAAUUAAUUAGUCCUUUAAAUCUUAAAAAAUAGUAUUUAAUCCUUAUGUUAUUAUAUUCAUUUCUAAUUGAAUUUUUUUCGUCCAUUCAUCUUUUUAUUUAUUUAAUAGCUUAAGUAAUUUUUAGAUUAAAGCUAAAUAAUUUUACUAUUAAAGGCAUUUUUUUUAAAUAAAAUAAUAUUAAAUUAAGCAUGCUCAACAUUGUUCAAAUUAUUAAUUAAUUAUAAUUAACUUGAGGUUUAGAAGAAACAAAAAGGAAGGAUAAAAUUAUCUUCCCCACAACCGUAGACCUAACCCCUUUCCAGACCAGUCCCCUAGUAAAUAGAAUGAUGGUCCCAUAAAUAGUUUUUUUUUUCUUUCCAGCCCGCCAAGCAGUUUGGUCUCCCUCACUGGAGAACCUUAGCACGAGAAUAACACUAUAAUUUAAAAGUAGUUUGAAGUAUCAUUAAACCUGAUACAAAUGAAUAACUGAUAAUAAUAUAAUUGGGAUUUAAAAAAAAUCAUAAAAAAAUCACUUAAAAAAACCAAAAAUUAAACAACCGAUAAUAAUAUAAUUAAAAUAAUAAAAAAUUGUUUAAAAAACAAUUUGAAACAGUUUAAUCUUAAAAAAAAAAACAAAAAGUAACAUGCGAUGAAAACCAAUUCAUGAAAAAGUAAUUGGAUAUUAAUUUAGACUAAAAGGAUGAAAUAAUAAAAACAAAAAGAGAGUUUGAGGGUAUUCAUUUUAUUGUUCAAAGGAACGCAAAAAUGCAUUCCAAGUAUGAAGUGUUUUAUUGUUAUAAAGUUUUUCAAACGUACAAUAUAUAAAUAUAUAAAGAGAGAAAAAAAAAAGAAAAAAGAGAGCAAAAGGAAACAGCCCCCAUCUUUCUUGUUCCCUUUCCCUUCUUUACACGGCCUGCUCCAUGAAAAAGCAGGAAGAAGUCUGAAUAUUUUUAGAAAGAAACAGUCUUCAUUGCUUUUCAAAACUUUGUUACUUCGACUUCAGUAAUGUUAACGCGUGGACCCAGUUGUUGUGGAAACUUUGCAAAGGAUCUCGAGGAAGAAAAAUGAUUGCAUUGCUAAUAAUUUGCAAGAGAGAAUUCUUUCACUGAAUAGAAAAAAAUAUUAUUUUUAAAAUAAUAACAAGUAAAUUUAAAAAUUAGUAUUUUUUAAAUAAAAAAAACUAGAAAUUCCUGAUAAUAUUGAAUCAAAAAUAAAAUAUAAAAAAAACUCUUUUCAAGUAGAAAAAAAUAUAAAAGUUUAAUAAUACUGAAUAGAAAUAAAUAAAAUUUCUAAACUAAAUAAAAAUAUUUUCUAUCCCAAAAAUUCUUAUAUCAAAAACUCAUUUAUCAUAUUUUAUAUCUAUAAAAAACUAAUUUGUCAUAUGUACUGGUCCAUAUUCUAAAACCAAAAAAAAAAGUAACAAAAAAAAUAUAAUGAUGGGAUGGUAUAUAAAAAUGAUUAAAUUGAGAUUUUUCAAUUACCUUUAAACAUAUCAUGAUUUUACAAUACUGUUAAAUGAUAUAUUUAUUUUAUUUUAUUUAUUAAGACUAAAAUAGUAUUUUCAACUUAACCUAUAUAUAAAUUUUUUAUAAUUAAGUUAAAGCAAGAAUAAAAAUGCAAAUCAAUUAAGGAGAACUCGAGCCUCAUUCCUUUUCGUAUUCAUAUUUAUUUUUAUGUUAAUUAAUUGUUUUAACAGAUACAUCAUGUAAAUUAUAUAAAAAAAAAUUAUUUUUCUGAUAUGUAUAUAGUAAUAACAAAUUAAAUGAUAGUAACAACAAAAUAGAAAUUAGUUUGAAUAAAUGGUAGCAGUUUCUAUAUAUCAUGAUAUAUAUCUAGGAAGAAGUUUGAAGAAUAGAAUAAAGUAAAAUAUUCUUAAUAAUAAAAAAAAAGAGAACACAGAAAGAAAUAAAAUAUGUUUGUAAUAAAUAUAAAAGAUGGAUGAAAAUAUUAGAGAAUAGGAAAGAGAUAUUAGAAUUACAUAAUGCUAGGUUUUGUAUAACUCUUUUGGAUGAAUGGUUAAUGUAGGGACUGUUUGGGGUCUGACAUGACUGAUUUUAGUUGAAUAUAUUAUUUGAUUAGUAUUGACUCUACUAUUGUUAAUGCAUGGACUUGAAAUUUCAGUAUUCAAUAUCCUUGUUUUACUCUGCAGCUCACCUCUCUGUCCCAUUGCUGCCAUUUCAUCGCUAACUCUUUGUUAUAUUUAACUUCUUCUUUGCUUCUUGCUUAUAACGAUAACUUGAAAGCCUCGCGAAAGAGAAGAAAAGCUCUUCUUUGUUAUCAUUGACCAGUUCAUCCUAUAUCAUUCUAUUUAAUUUAGAAAUGCAGAAAGAAAAACGCAAGCAAUCCAAAGAUGAAGAAAACGAUUCAUCCUCGCGAAAGAGAAGAAAAGCUGACCUCA